rnacentral:lncRNA from 1 species
UAAUGUUAAGUGUCACCAACCGUCCCUAGAGCAAGUAGCAAAGAAUUUGACGGUUGGUACCCGAGAUCCAAAUUCGAAUCCUAUCUGAUUCACAUUUCUAGCUAAGUUUAUUUCUAAAUAAAAUAAACGAAACAGAUAACGUGCUAUCUAUCUCUCUCAAAAAAAAAAAAAAAAAAUGUUAAGUGUCUUCUCUAGCUGUGAAAGUUUCGGGAUUAAGCAAAACAUUAUACUUUAUAUGCUUGGGAUCUGCAUAAUUUUGUGUUAGAUUAGUUGAACAAGAUUUGAAGGUCGAUCAAUUGAGUUUUGAGAAGAUAUUCUCAGAUGGAGCAUGCGAUAAGAAGAUAAGAAAACAUUAAUAUCAGCCUAACAUGAAAAUAUUCUGACAAUAAUUUUAACAUAAAUAAGGUUGACGAGAAGAAGUAAACAUUAAAAACUUCAGCCUGACAAAUAUAAAUAACUAAUAAAAAAACUGAAUUACCCGACCAACUGUGAACAUAAGAAAACACCUAAUCCUGUGACUCAUUCAGGAUGUUUUGACAAAAAAAAAAUAAAAAUCAAAAAUAAAAACACAAAAAAUCAAGGUGGUGGUGCAGUGAAACUAUCUACCUUCUUUGCUGUUUUCCACUUGGAACGGUAAAGCGCUUCGAAUUAGGUGGCGGGUCUAUGAUCGACCACCCGAUUGUCCAUUAUAACAACUAGAAGAACAAACAAAGAAGGGUGAGAUAGGAAGUGUAAUUAAGAAAAAGUAAACAAAAAAAAAAAAGGGAAAAUAAAGGAAAAAAGAAAAGGAGAGAAAAAGGAGUAUAGAGUAGUUUUUUUUUUUUUUUUAAAUUACUAGCUAGAAUAUUACUAGCAAAACAAAUUCAAUGUGAUUAGCUAGAUUUUAGAAUUUGAUCAAGCAUUAAACUACAUAUAGAUCGACCUUGGUUGGAAUGACCCAAUUUGAUUUGAUUUGUUAGCUUGGAAUUGGGUAGUGGGUGGGGUUUGGUUGGGUUAGCAUCGUCCAGUCAAUCUAACCGAGUUGCUCUAAUCAUAGGAAUUAAUAAUUUAAGGGGUGGGUUAGAGCAAGUCCAACCAUAUUUGGUGGAACAUGUUUGGCAGUUACUUAGCCGCGCAUAGUCUUCAAAAUUGACCGCGGUCCUUUUCAGUUGAUUUAGAAUUAAAGAAAAAUACUAUCCAGUGUGAAUUUUACACACGCUUAUCUGAGGAUAAAAGCUUCUCAUAGCUAGAUUAAUGGACAAUUAUUAACUUUUUAAUGACUAAAAUAUAAGAUUUAUUUUAUGUAUAUAAGUAUAUAAAUAAAAUUGUUCUUCUUGCAAAUGCUCUAUAAAAUAGUUCUGCACGAUAUAUUGUAUUUGGUUAGUUUCAUUUAUCUUGGAUGGUUGAAAAUUAACUUCAUUUGCGUAAAAGAAACUUGGCCAUCCUCAAAAGAGCACGCCAUGGUUGAUAUCAUACCUCGCGAACGAGUAAACCAUUGACCUAAAAAAGAUUUUUGCUUUGAAAGUGGGACAGUGGAGGAAGCUUCGAACCAAUUUUCUGAGCAUUGCAUAGAAAAAAAAAAAAGGACCAUUUGAGAAACUACUAAGGUAGAUGUUUGACUUUGAGAAUUAAUUUCCAUUGGAGAAUAUAGUUACACAUGUUUCUAAUUAAUGUUUAUAGAUGAGUUGUUAUGCCGAUAACACAAUUUGGUUGUACGAGAGGAAAUUGCUAUUCCCGUGGUUUGGCGAGGAAUAAUAUUUGGCAACUCACCGACCGUCCCUAGAACAAGUGGCAAAGAGUUUGGUGGUUGAUAUUCGAUGUCCCAAGUUCGAAUCCUAGUUGAUUCACAUUUCCAGCUAAGUUUAUUUUUAAAUGAAAUAAACGAAACGGGUAGCGUGUUACCUAUCUCUAAAAAAAAAAAAAAAUUGGCAACUCAUUCAAUUAUCAUAUCUAUUAUCUAAGAAUAAAAAUGUAUAAAUUUAUUCUCUCAAAAAAAAAGAAUAUAUAAAUUUAUCUAUUUACCUCCUAACUUAUGUAUGAUAUUUGAAUCAUAAUUAACAUUUUCCAGUAGAAGCGAGUAAUGAAUAAUUAUGUUGAUGUCGUAUCAUUACCAACUUACCUCUUGGCGACUGAAAUAUAUAUAGAUGCUGCCUCAUUCUUCUGCUAGUCAAAUUAAAUCAUAAAAUUAGGCCUCAUUUAGUAUUAUAUUUAUUUUUUUAUUUUUUUAAACAGAACUUUAUAUAUCAAGAUGUGUAGUAGUGGACAAUAGAUUACUUGUGAUCAUUUUAUUAAAAAUCUUUACUUGAACAACAAAAAUAAUUUAAAAAUAUUUUUUUACCUCUAAUUUAAUUUUUUAAAUAAAUUAUUAUUUAUUUUCAGUUAUUAGUGCAGUGGCAAAGGAUAAAAGAUUUGAUGAUUGAUAUCCGAGGUCUUAAGUUUGAAAUCUAAUUGCUUCACAUUUCUAACUAACGAAUAGUAUACUAACUUUUUCUCUAAAAAAAAUACUUUUAUUUAUCACAAUACUGAAUAUAUUAUAAACUAACCAACUAUAAUAAUAACAAAAAAAAAAAUAACAUAUUAAAUUAUAUAUAUCUAGUAUUUUAGAAAGUAAAAAAAAAAAAAAACCAAACGUGACGUUUUAUAAUAAAUUAACUCUUUAGUUGUCAAAAGAAAAAAAAAAAAAAUUUGAAGUGUUCCACAUUCUUAGGUUGAACGAAAUUUUCCGAACUCCGCAGCCCUUACCGAACCGGACCGCCGUAGACCGAACUCGCACAACCCCCGUAAGCCACGUGGCAGCCUCACAGGCUUCGACGGCUCUGAGGAUCUCCCAAGUUGCAAUCCCGAGUACCAAUUCUAACGGUGGGUCACACGUGAAAUGACAAAACUACCCCUCCCUCCGCCACUAAUCCACUAUGGUCACGGAUGCCAUGGUCAACCGUUUACAAAUCCCACGAGAUACCCCUCAUGCUCCCACCCCUCAAGUCCUACCAUAUUACAUUACCGUCCAUCCCACUUUUCCUUGGCGUGCACUUCUUCCGAGGCCCCCCCUCUUCUUCCCCGCAAAGCAACCCUUUUCUCCCCCCACCCCUCUCUCUCUAUCCUUCAUCGAGACGCCAUUUCCGUACUCGUAAGCUUUUUCCCAAACAAGUAUUUGUUUAUUGGCGAUCGAAGAGCGAGAUCUGAGUUCCUCACAAGUGCUUUUGCUUAUCGAGCUCGAGAUCACUUCUCCGCCCCCAAGUCGUAAUCAGAAGCGCAUUUUUUUUGUUUCGAAGAUGUUGGGGGACUUCCUCACCAAUAUACUUGUGUAAGUAUGAUCAAAUUCGUUGCAGUUAUCUGUCGUUCUCGUUUUCCUUUAAUUUGAUCCUUGAAUUGAUCCGCGAUAUGAGCUUUUGUUGUUUUUAAAUAAAAAAAUUGGGGAAAUGAUAAUUGUUGUAGGUUGCUGUUCGGAUACGCUUAUCCCGCAUUCGAGUGCUUCAAGAUGGUGGAGCAGAGACCAGGCCAGAUCGAGCAGCUUCGAUUUUGGUGCCAAUACUGGUAAAUUUAGUCCUGUUUCUUCAAAUUAGUUACUCUGUUUCUUCUUUUUUAAAAAAAACAAAGAAAAGAAAAGUCCUGUUAUUUUUGAAGCUGCGAUUAAUGAAUAAAAACUUAGGAGUUUCUAUAUAUGAUGAUUCUAACUUGUUAUGAUUGGUUGGUGGGGCUGAUUCUAAUAGUACAUGAGAGAGAAUUAGCUUGGAGAUUGAUUUCUUUGAGGAAAUAAAAUUUAAUCUCAGAGGAAUAAUUAGUCAAUGUUUUGAGCUUAAUUUUUUUGCCCCGUUUAUUAGGGAUUGAUUUGAUGCACAAGGUUAUCAUAGGAUGUGGGGUUCAGUUAAAUUCAAUGACUUGGAAUAGGAAUUAUGUGGCUCUCCCCUGAUUCAGAACAGAGACUAGUCAAUUUUGUUAAACAGAGACCUAGUCAUUUCCAACUCCUCUUUUUUAAAAUUUUUUUUUAUUUUUGAAAACUAAGUAUGUCUCCGCGCUUGAAAUGGACCAAUUCAGAGAUAGAGAUUUGAGACAUGCCUGAGAGAGCGAAAAUGGAUCCGGCACGGAUCAAAGAGAGGACAAAUCACAUCUGAGUUCAUUUUCGUAAUCUUUACCCUUUUCUUUUCUUUUUUUUUCUCUCUCUCAAAAAAAAAAAAAAAAACUUUACCCUUUUUCUUUUUUUAAGUCUUGAGUUCACUUUUCCUCCAGGAGUGCAAACAUAAAUACAUAAAUUAAUGGGCUUGCUAGUGUUGGAGACAAUUGAUGAUUAACCGGAUAGACAUAUUAAAUACCCAUUUUCAGUCUUAGCUUACACAGUUAUAAUAAGUUAGUUACAUAAUGAAUCAGAGAAAUCUAAAAGAUAUGAGUUAUUCUUUAUGCUUGUUUGUUUCCCACAGGCGAUUCUGGUUAUGUUAAGAAUUUCUUUUGCUGAGCUUUUCGCUAACUAUAUGUUGUGAUUUGCUUCUUCUGAGUCCUGCUUUUGGGUUUUUGCUUUUGCUGUAGUUUUUAGUUCUUUAACUCUUUUUAUCUACUUCUCCUUUUUCUUUGGGCCCAUUUGGGCCUUUCCCGGGCCCUCCCUGUGUGUUUCGGCUUUUCUCAGAGCAGGUCCAGAGUUUUUCAGCCUAUUUCCUCCCUCAGGAAAGCAAAAGGCAAAAAAAAAAAAACAAAGAAAAGAAUUUCAAUUGUUGAAUACAUCUUGAAUAACAAAUCGGCAUUGUAUCUAAAUGUUGGGAUUUUUUGGUCGUACAACCAGUAAUAGGGUAACGAAAUUGUAAGGUAGUUUAUGUCUCUAAAAUAACCAAAAGUUGGAGACAAUCUUCGGACCAAUUCAGGCAAAAAGGGCGUCACAAAAAUCAGACAAUAGAUGUACCAUCCUCGUUCAUUGUUGCAAGUUUUUAGUUACCAACAGAACAAAAGCUGAAAAACUAAUGAUCAUCUCAUAGAAAUGGAUUAGUAGAUUCGGAGAUAAACAUGUAGGAGGAAAUAAAUGCAGUUGCAGUGGAAAAGGGUGUGAAGGGGUUUCAGCGGAUAACUAAUCAGGGCUCAAAACAAUUAUAGCUACCAAACAAGUAUUUCAAAAUUCAUACAGCACCUUUUCCUUUCGCUGUUCUACAUUUUCUAUGAGCUUCAAAUGUUUCCGCCAGCAUGUGCUCACUUUGCUUCUGCUACACCAAACUGCAGGAUUAUUGUUGCAAUCGUCACAGCGUUUGAGAGGCUAGGAGAUGUAUUCGUAUCAUGGUAACAACGAUUCAAGUUGUUAAUAAUGGUUUCACUUUUGCCGGUUGAUGCAAUUGUUUUAACAACCUUUUCUUUGUUCAUGAAAGGUUGCCAAUGUAUGGAGAAGCAAAGUUAGCCUUCUUUGUCUACUUGUGGUACCCGAAAACAAAGGUAAUCCGAGAACCCCGCCAAAACUUAUAUCAACGUAACAUUGCAGUAAAAAGAAGGAUUUCGCGUCAAUAUUGGAAACCUCUUCUUAUUUACAGGGCAGUGAUCUAGUCUACGACACUUUCCUGCGGCCGUUGGUUAUGCAGUAUGAGCCAAAUAUCGAGCAGAGGUUGCGGCACCUGAGGGCUAGAUCGGGGCAGCUGCUCAUCUUCUACAUCAAAAACUUCACCGACAAAGGAACGCAAAUGUUCCUCGAGGUCCUUAAAUAUGUGGUCUCUGAGAAAUCUAGACUAGUAGACUCCGAGGUAAUUUUUUUUGCUUUUACUUCUAUGCUUUAAUUCUGUUAAUGCAUUGUAGGUGUCGAUUUUGUGCAUCUAAGUCGUCGGAUGAGUUUUGCCUGGUAGUUAGAGGACAACAUAAAUAUACUUAUAAUUAAGGUGAUAAUGAUCGAAGCUGUCCUAGUUAGUUACUGGUUUGUUGACCGACUUCUGCUGACAUUGACCAAAAAAAAAAAAAAAAAAAAUCUGCACAGCCAAAAUAAAACAUCAUUGGUGAUGUAUUAAUUUGUAAUUAAAUAUAUCAAAUAUUUUGAAUACAUUGACCAUGAUGGAGAAGUUAAGUUUGAUCCAAAGUAAUCCUCUAUUAUUAAUUAGUAGUGCUUAAAAUUAGAACCUAUAACCGGCCAAGUUUCCGAGUCGACCACCUCACUUCUUUUCCAUUUUGGCAUGAGCUUACACUAGGAUAACCAUACAUUGGGAGAGUAAGUGUUCUUAGGACUCUUCUUUGCCUCUUAAACACAAAAUUAUCAAAAAAAUAUGUAUUGCAAGUUAAGCGACGUGCUCAGUGGAUGAAUUGGUAGAGCGGAUCCAAGUAAUAAUCUCUUCUCUUUGCCAACCACACACAUGGCUGAACAGAGCAACAGACGCAGGCAUAUCCUGCUACGCAACUCUCUAUUUUUGGGGCUUUGUUUUGCUUCCCAGUGGCUGUGGGCUCUUUUAAGGCUUAUGGUAGAAGCGGAAUUAUAUCGUGUAGGGGAAAUGCGAUGGUGACACAUAACAAAGCAAUAGCGAAUCCAAUCCAAGAAUUGGACCCACCUUGUUUCCCCCCCCCCCCUAAAAACUUUUGCUCUGUAGCAACUAGACAGUGCCAAAUCAGUUGAAACCAACCAUUCAAGGCAGCGCCACCUCUUUCACUUCCUUUAUUAUAAUUUUGUUUUAUGCCAUGUUUAUUUUCCUAACGCUCAAUCUCUAACAGGGGAACAAGCGGUCGGGAUCGCACCCGAUCACGAUCAAGCGGCCGACCGUCUUCGACGAGCUCACGGCCGACGAGUGGCGGCCGGAGGCUUAUGCCGACGCGGUUGAAUCCCCACGCGCUGCUGCACGUGCGAAGCCGCGGCGCUCCUGGUUCAGCAAGCACUAGGGAGGAUACGUGUGUAAAGUGAAACAGGAGAGUACAUAGAAUACAAUGUGGAUGCGAACUUGCCAAGAUAGGAUCAUGCAGAUUUAUAGAUGAAACAGUGGUGAUUGUUAUUUUCUUUUUGUAUUUUCUUUUUUCUUUCUUUUUUUCCCCCUAUUUCCUUUCUUAGCACUAAUUAUUAUUUGAUUAAAUUCACAAAUCCCUAUCUGUUAGCAUCUAUUUGUUCGUCCCAUUCUUCUAUCUAUUUACAAAUCAGGACGUAACCAGAAGAAAGAAAAAAAAAAAAAAAGUAAACCAAAAUCAAAUUCAACAAAUUGGAAGAAAUAAGAAAAUUGUAAUAGCGUGAGACGGCCAUCGCGAGCCUCGGUGCUUACCGCCGCCGCCGUUAUCGGCCGAAGAGGCGGCCGAGGAAGUCGAAGCAGGGGCCGAAGAGCGCGGCGGCGCCGCCACGUCCGGCGCCGCCGCUGCUGCAGCAGCAGGCGAGGGCGAGGAGGAGGCGGCAGAGGCGGCUGCGGCGGCGGCGCGAGGGCUCCCGCAUCGACGGCGUCGGCUGCAGGUAGGCGUACGCGGCCUGCUUCACCAGCGGGUUGCUGAUUCGGAUCUCCGCACAGCUCCCUCCUCCUCCUCCGCCGCCGCCGCCGCCCAUGGGGGAGUCGGCUGCGGCGGAGGCGGAGGAGUACCUCGGCGACGAGAGGAUGUCGCGGAGGCUUGUGUAUCCCCGCUCGGAUCCGAAGCUCCCGCUCUCUAAUUCCGAGCCGCCGCCGCCGCCGCCGCCGCCGCUGCCGUUGGGGAUCUCGAUCGCCGGGAGCACCGCGGUGGCCCUCCGCCGCAGCGAGGGUUGCUUCUUCUUGUCCGACGACGACGACGACGACGACGAUCUCCAGUGGCGGAGCUCGAAGUCGCCUUUGCGGCUUCGGCUCGUCUCCUCGCCUACCAUGGAAGGGCCCGCGGAGGAGGCGGAGGAGAGAAGAAGAAGAGGAAGAGGAGGAAUAGGAGGGGGUCAGCGGAAUAAGUAUCGAAUAGUUAAUACCCGAUCUAUAAAAUAGGUUUUUGAAAUUGAUGUGUGUGUGUAAUAAUAUUGUGGUUUAGGGCGAAAAGUAAGAGCUCCAGAAAAUUUGGGCCGUGUGAACGGGUUUUGGAGAGAUCGAGGGAGACGGGGACGAAUCGUGGCCGUCGGAUCGGAGGUGACCCAACCUGCGUCUGAUUUCUGAUGCGCUGUUGUUGGUGCGCUCAAUUAUUGGAUCCGCGUCAGCGCCUUAAUCCCGUUCUCUGUCACGCCGCUCACUAAUUAGGCUUUUAAUUUUUUUUUUUUCGGGGGGUUACAAUUAAUUAAUUAAAUUAAGUUAAUUACAAGUAAACAGCGACGAUCAGGAAGCUAAUUAAUUAAAUAAUGAUGUAAUUAAUUAACGAGGGAAGAGGUGGUGGCGUGGUGGGGCGUCCGAAUCUUGAUGCGAUUCGGAAUGGAGGAUGGGGAUUGGGGGUGCUGUACUGGGGCGGGUUUGACCCGGGUGGAGUUGGCCGCCCAGUGGAGCCGCGGGGAGUGGCAGACCCGAAGUUCAAGGUGUGGCCGCUCUCUCGUUGCAGUUCAGCGUGGGGCCUAUCAUGGUCGGAGUUCUCUACCAAACGUUUUAUCUAAAAUAAUAAAUAAUAAAUAUAUGUAUAUAAUGGAUCAUUAUCUUGUAUAUAUAAUAGUAUUAAAGAUUUACGAAAAGUGUUUUUCUUUUAUAUAUUAUUUCUAUUUAAAAUUAUAACAUUAGUCCGCGAUUAAUUUUUUUCUUCUCCAAUGGCUUACUAAACACCCAUAAAAUAUCUUGCAGAGAACACCACCCCAACCUUUAUCUGGAUUUAAUUGGUGAUAUAUUAUUUUUGUUUAAAAGCGUUGCCAAUGAAUUAAAAUGUUUAACUAAUUUCCGCUCUAUCAUUGUUGCGGAAUUUUUUUUUUUUUUUAAAAAACCUGUUAAAUUUACAUACCUGAACUUCUGUUCUGGUUUUCAGACAAUUAAACGCUGAUGAUGCUUAAUCUAACUUUUUAACAUAAUACAGGUGGCUCUUGGAAGCUUUUGCUGGACAAAACGGAACUGUUAACAACAAAAAAUGAGGGAUUUAAAAAAAGCAUCAAAUUCUGGAUCCAUCUCAUCAGCUGCACUCCUCUGAUCUCACAAAAGAAUACAACUCCCUGGCGAUGAGUUCGUUCGUCUGCUACACUCCAAUCGCUGUCCCACGCUCAAGCAUUUGUAUGAACAAAACAACCAUUAGAUCAUAAAAACUGCUUACCGAGAUAGAGACAGAAGAAAAUUCACCAAUAACUCAAAUUCCAUUUCACUUGGAACUCAGAUCCCAUUUUAAGCAGCAAAGCUAGUAAUCUGGCAAGGCAGCAUCUAAGCUCAGAAAGUAGCACUUCUUUACAUUAUAAGAUAAAUAUAGAAUAAGAAAACAACCUCUGCCCACCAAAAGUCUGGGACUUGCAGAAAGGUAGUCCAAUUUCUAGGCAAAAAAAAAAAAAAACAAAUGACAUUGUGAUCUACUGGGCGGACGGAUCUGCUUAGAUUGCCUAAAGUAAAAGAACCAACAAUGAGAAUAUACAUCUACUUGACCAACUGAGCAAGAUCGGGAUCAUUCGUGUCCAAAUCAAGCCAGCCGUAUAGGCGCAUGUACUCAAUGUAAUGAUCGGGAGGCUUUACAGCUCGAGGAUUCCUUGGAGCAAAAGCAUGCAACCUUCGUACAUCUCGGGCCAGCCAUCGAACAAAGGCUCGAUCCAAUGGAGGCAUAGCUCUUACUAAUAUUUCCUCGCGCUCUUGCUUCGCUGGCUUGUUCCCCAUCUCAACUCACAAUCUGAAGAGAGAAGGAAAAGUAAGGAAUCAAAUUCUCAGAGACAACUAUCAAUGGAAAGACGCGAAAAAGAAUUCAGCAUAUGUUGUUCUAAUAAAUGUCGGGAGCACAAAAGAAGCCUGCUAGCAAUUAUGAUAUAAGUUGGAUAAUAUCAACAAUUUUCACUAUUUUUGUUUUGUUCAACCACAACACAUUUCCCACACUGAGCAAUAUAAUCAGGCUCUUCAGUUCAACCAAAAAAAGACAAGAUACUUGGGUCAAUUGGCCUCCUUUAUUCUGUUUUUCUUGGUGUGCAAACUUGUCUUCUUCAAGAGCUACCUACCUGCUGCUGGUUUCAAAGAUUAUACUGAAAAAAAAAAAAAGAAGGAAGACACGCCUGAUCCAACAAGAUGUCGUUUAUUCUAUCUACUAGUGUGGGUGCAAAAUCAGAACAAAGAUGUAAAUUUAUGUUCGUCUCGCCCUUAAAACAAUACUUGAAGUGAAAAAAAAAACCCCUCGAAAAUGACACUCUAGAUUUCUCCACUAAAAAACUCAGACAACUGUCAGUUAACCUGUAUGCAAAUUUCUUUCUCUAAAAAGCUCAGACAACUGUCAGUUAACCUCGACACACUAUGAGAUCUCAGCACCGCAAUCGUCCGUUGCCUAAUCUCUCUUCGUUAAUCCAGAAACAGCAGAAAGAACCCCCAUUUCUAAAAACACAGACAUACUCCGCCAAGAAAACAUCCGUUAGCCGCUCGUUAAUUUGAAGCAGGCUCGACCUUUAGAUGCAAAUUAUUGUUCUUAGAAGAUCGAUAGUCCAGAUGUCGCUUGAGUCCGAGAAGACACCACGGCUCAAGACUUCUUCUUUAGAGACAGAUGUUGAACUCGCAGUUCAGCAAAUGUUUGUUGGAGCACGAAGAGACCAAACAAGAUGUAGACGAAGCAACGCAGAUCAUAAUUCCGCACUUUUUUCAUUUUGAAGAACUCUUUCCAGUUUCCACAAAUCAAUAGGAGUAAAUUCAUGUCGAUUCCGCAGCAAUCAUCUCAAAAGAGUCUACAAAAAUUGGCAUUACAGCAAACAAGUCUCCACUGAGUACAUGACAGAUUUUUUUGUUUUCCUAACCUACAUGGCACAAAUAUUACCUUAAAAAUCUGUAAAAAUGCUAAUUCACAAUUAAAACAUGAUCUGUGAAACGGAAUGCUGAGAUUCUAAAUCAAUUCUCGAAUUGCGUCGAAGGUAAUUGAAUGCGUGAGACAACCUUCCAAAGGUGAAUUAGGGUUUCGAAAGGGGCUAAUCUAAACAUAAUAAAAGGAAAAGAAAAAUUGAAAUAGUAAAGAUAAAUUGAGAUUACAGAAGGAGAAGAGAAAAUACAAAGAAUUUUUGGGUGAGAAAUUGCGUACCAACGUGGAGCCUUUGCCGGUCGAAUGUUCGCGUGCACCAAAGCAUCCGGGGGGGGGGUUCGAAGAUACAAGGCAAGAUAAGGAUUGAAUGGACGGACAGAUGGAUAGAUGGUGAUGAAAUGUCACCGUCGGAUCUCCUGGAGAAAUGCUGUGUGUACAAUUGUACAUACUGCAACAGAGCGUACACCUAACAUUUAUCUAAUAAUGUACAAAUUUAUCCAAGUUCUUUCAUAUUUUUUGUUAAAAAAUUAAUAAAAUAUAAAUAGAUUAUUAAUUAGAGCUAUCAAAAACUGUAUUGUGUACUUUACGCUCGAAUGUAUGAAUAGUAUUGCCAUUAGUAAAUUGGAAGAGCAGGAACAAAUUUUACAGUAAUCUUAAAUACCUCAUCAAAAUAUUUAUCAAUACGCAUACACUACAGCUAUAUGCACAUAAAAUUAUAUUAUUAUAUAAAUAAAAUUUAUAUAAAUAAAGAUGCAUGAAUGCCAUAAAAAUAAUGUUGAUAAAGCUGAAUGGUAUGCGUUGCAUUCCGUUUUAAUCAAUAAAAGGUAAUUUUUAAUUCUACAUACAUGCACGUACAAUAAGGGAGCAAAGCUGCAAAAGUUCUCUAUAUAUUGUAGAUGUGAUAAUAAAUUCAUAUAACACUCUAUGUAUAAAAUGGUUAAAAACUUUCACAUUAGUUUAAAGUUCGUAAUUAAUGUUUGUGCUAAAAUGAUUCAUAUAUAUAUAUAUAUAUAUAUAUAUAUAUAUAUAUAUGAGCUCCUAUAUAUGCUUUUAAAAGUACCAAGUUAUUGGUGCUUGUAGAUUUUUAGCCGUUGGAUUAAGAGAUGUGCGAUUAGGAUGAUGUGGACCCCCUAGGAUUGAGUGGGUGAUUAGUUGAAUAGUAUAAUCUAACGGUUAAAAAUAAUCCGAGGAGUAGAUCUGAAGGGUAAAAAAUUUACAAGCACCAAAUGCUUGGUGCUUUUACAAACACCAUAGUCGGACUCAUAUAUAUAUAUAUAUAUAUAUAUAUAGUCUUUUUUGAAAAAAAAAAUUUAUGCGUCAAAUAACAAAUUUCUCUUUAUAUGGAUAUUUGUGCUAAUUAUGGUUUCAUUAGAAAUAAAGCAACAAUUAAAUCAUAUAACAAAAUAAUUGUUGUUCUCCAAAAAUUUAUGGUAUUAAUUUUUUUUAUAUUUACAUUUAGCAACUCUCUUCCGGUUUCUCUCUAUUUAUUUACCUAUUUUCGUUCCCUAACCUUCCUUUGAGAAUUACGGACGGUUUCUAAUACAAAUGAUAAGAAAUUUGGUACUUGGUAUUUGAGAUCUUAUAUUAGAAACCUAAUUAUUUCAUAUUUCUAGUUAAAUUUAUUUUUUAAAAAAUAAAUAAAAUAGAUAGUAUGUGGUAUUUUUCUAAAAAAAAAAAAUCUAUGACAAUGAUGAGCCAAACUAUCAUAUAAGAACGUAAAAUAGGCAAAAGAGUGUAGAAAAUAUAAGAUCGCUAUAUAUAUAUAUAUAUAUAUAUAUAUAAAUAAUAAUAUAAAUUUUAAAACUUCUUAUGAAUUGAUGAACGCCCUACUAUCAACAAGAAUUAAAAUUUAUUAUUAGGCCUCAGAACUUUUCAAAAAAAAUUUAUAGUAUUACAAAAUUUUUCAAAUUUUUUUAAGAAAAAGCAGUACUUUUUCUCUUUUCAUACCAAAAUUCAUUUAUUCGCAAAAUUUUAAAAAACUUAUAGUCAACUAAUUAUUAUCUAGAUAUUAAUUAUAAUGUUAUAUAAUUAACUUAUAAAUAACUAUAAUGUUGAAAAUUAUUUUAAAUUAGUGCAAUUCUUAUUUUUAAUUUAAAUUCUAUCAUUUUAAAAAAUAUUUAAAAUUUUACAAAAUACUAAACUUCAAUUAGUGUCUUAACUAUAUAACCUUUAAUUACACUUUUGUACCAACAAAAUUUUAAAUUAAAUGACGAAUUAUGAUGAUGAAGGUGAAAAAAAUAUAGUGUAGUAGAGUUAAUUUCUUAAAACUAUUAAAACAAAGUUUAAAUAUGCAAAAUCAUAAAACAGAUAAUAUUAUUUGUUAAAAAAAUAAAGUCAUCUAAUUACUAUCUAGAUAUUCAUUACAAUGUUGUAUAAUUAAAUUAUAAAUCACAAUUGACACCGUUCCUAAAGUUGAUGGAUGAAGUCAUUAAUCACUUAAUAAAUAUUCGUUUUGAAAUAAGCGUGUCCCUUCGUUUUUCUAUAAUUGUCUUUUUGUUUUCUUAAAAUGAGUUAUGAUAGUCUAGAAUUGUAUGUGUCUUUUAGUAUUCCUAAAAGUGUCUUUUAAUUUCUCUAUGAAAUUAAAGAGUGCAUUAAUGUAUAGAGAAUAUGAAGGGUCAUUUGAGAGGCUAUAAAUAUGUAAUGAUUUUAUGAUGAAAAGCAAGUUAAGUUGAGUUGAAGUUUCUACUUUUAUUUGAGAAUAAGGAUUUCUUCUUCCUCCUAUCUCUUAGGCAGAUUUUCUGUGAGAGAAGAGUGUUGUUCAACCAUUGUGUUGGUGGAUUCCGCAUAGCGGUGAGUGUGCUCGAGUUCGACGUGGUGGAUUCUACGCCGGGUCGAGUAUUUAUCGUGUUAUAUUGGUCCUAUCUCCGCGUCCCCUCUAAGUUCCGGCGUCAACAAUAAUGUAGAAAAUUAUAUUAAAUUAGAUAUUUAUAAAAUUUUACAAAACACUAAACUUCAAUUAGUAUCUUAAGGUUAAAAAUAUAAUCUUUAAUUUUACUUUUAUACCAAGAAAAUUUAAAUUAAAAGACAAAUUUGAUCAUGAAGGAGAAAAAAAAUAUAGUGUAGUAGAGUUCAUUUCUAAAAAUUAAUAAAGCAAAGUUUAAAUAUGUGAAAUCAUAUAAUAGAUAAAUAUAAUUUUUUUGAAUUGUUUGGACUUAAAUUUAAAUACCUUUUUCCUUCUCUUGUAUACAAAAUAUAAUUGUGAUUUUGUUCCAAUAAACUCAUAAAUUACAUUGCGAAUUUCGAUGAGGAAGCUACAAACAAAAAUGUAGUGUACCAGAGUUAACCUUUAAAAAUCAGUGAUGUAAAAUUUAAAAUGCAAAAUCACAAAAUAGAUAAACAUAAUUUGUUUGAUUGUUUGGAUUUAAAUUUAAAUUCUGAUAGAUAAAGUUUAUUAGCUCAUGAUUGAUGUUGUGGACAUUUUCCAUCCUCUAUUAUUGAUAGGAAGUAAAAGAUUUAUUGAAAAGAAUAUUCAUCUUGUGUAUGAUAUUCUCUAUAGCCAAUAUUAAAAAAAAUAGUAGAUAAUUUAUAUUUAAUUUUAAAUUUUAAAAUAAUUUUUAAAAAAUAUAAUUUUUAUAAAUAGUUUAUUCUAAUAAUACAUAUUAUAGAGGUUUAAAUUGUAAUUUUAAAUUUAUAAAUUAGAAUGAUUGUGCUUUAUAUAUAUGGCUCAACAACCUUUAUUCUUCCGGUAGUGCCCAAGAAAUGUAUGUGCUCAUAGAAAUGAAUAGUUUAUAGUUUCUUCAAUUAGUAGAGAAAAAAAAAAAAUUAUGUGCAAUCCUUUUAUCUUUCAAGUAUAGGAGAAAUGGAGGUUUAAAUAUUUUCUUCUACAAACAAAAAUAUUAGAACUUUUUUAAUUAAUAAAGAAAUAAAAAAUUUAAUAUUUGAUUUCUUCAUCGUCUUGGCAUCCGAUAAACGUGGUGUGAAGAAUCGAGAUGUAUCUUCUCCAAGAUAUGAAAAAAUUCCUCCAAGAAACAAGGAGUUAAGAGUUUUGGCGAAAAUGUAUCUUCUCUAAAAAACGAAGAGAUUUCUUCAAGAAACGAAGAGAUUGAGGAGAUAUAUUUUGUCCAAGAAAGAAAGAGAUUUCUUAAAAAAAUAAAGAGGUUGAAUAAAAAAGUGUACACUUUAAAUAAAUGCAAUUAAUAAUUAUUAAAUAUUUGUAAAUUAUUUAUUUUUAUUAUUUCUCUAUUUUUUUUUUUUAUAUUAGUUGCCAUGGGCAAUGACAUUAAUUAGAACUUGAAUUUGAAGAGAAAAGAACUAUUAGAAAAAAAUAUUCUAAAUAUUAUGUGAAUUUCAAUCAAUUUGAUGAUGUUUAUUUAAUUGGUCUUCAUACACUUACUGAACAGUUAGUUUUGUAAAAUUAUUUGUUUAAAUUUUUUUUGUUAAUAUGUACUUUUUUUGAAUUUUUUUAAAAAUUGAUUAUUUACUUAUAUUUGAGUGAAUUGUAUACGAUAAAAUUGUACUUGUAGUAAUCUUUUUAAUUUACUUUCAUAUUUUUCGAUGAUUUGAUGAAUUAGUUGCAUAGUAACUUGCUUUCACUUUGUAAAUUAAUUGUCUUCUCUAAAAUAUUAUAUAAAAUAAUUAAUUAAUGGCUAAAUUAUAUAAAACCUCCCUGUCAAAAUCCGAUUUUUUACUUUUUUCCUCUGUCAUUUAAAAACUUACACUUUGCUCCGUUGUAAAAUAAAAAAUAGUCAUAAGAGGUAUGGUGUAAACUGUGAUACAAAAUAACCAUUUUGCCCCUCAUCAUUUUUGGCAACAGGAGAGAAGGCUGAGGGCAUUUUUGACAUAAAAAUAUAUAUAAUAAUAUUUUAUAAACAGAACCCUAACGGAUCACUAACGGCAGGGGGUGAAGUGAACAUUUUUCAUUUUACAAAAGGGCAAAGUGUAGGUUUUUAAAUGACAGGGGGAAUGUGAAAAAUCAAAUUUUGAUAGAAAAUUUUCUGUAAUUUAGCCUUAAUUAAUUAUCACUUUUAUCUUGUUAUUUUAAUAAAACUUUUGUUUUAGCACUUGACAUUUAUUUUGUAAUAACAACAAAUGGUUACAUCCUGACCGUUGAUAUUUCUAGGAAUACAAUUGAAAGUUUUAUUUGUUCAACUAAUAGUUGUUUUUUCUUUUCUAACAAAAUUUCAUAACUCAAUUAAGAGGUACCCAUAUAAAAUAUUACAAACUUUAAACAAAAUACACAUAAGUAUUAUAUAUAGAAAAUAUAGCAAAAUGAAAAAUAUAAAUUUGAAUCAAUAAGAAGUAAGAUUUUUUUCUCUAAAUUAUACUCAUAAAAAAAUUCUUGAAGACGAUGACGAAGUUUCAGUGAUGAAUAUCACCGAGUCAAAGUUUUCUCGCUUCAAAAAAAAAAAAAAAUCAUCAAUGACAACAACUAAGACAAUAAAAUUAGAAUGAAUUUAACUCUUCUUUCAUUACUUCAUUUUAAUCUAAUCUAUUUUCAUGUAUGGAUGUUCAAAUUUACGUUUUUAUUUUACUAUAUUUUCUAUCCAGUAUUUUGUUUAUAGUUUGGAAUAUUUUAUAAUUUUUUAAAUAUGACAUUACUAUUUAAAUAUAAUAUUAUUUAUUCAUUAAUUUAUUAAUUUAUUUAAUUAUAUUAGAAAAAUCUAUACGUGCAACGCACGUGCACUGACUAGUAUAUAUAUAUAUAUAUAUAUAUAUACACACACACUUAAUAAAACUCUCCCCGUUACGAUGAGCACCCAAAAUGUUCACAUAUACCAUCACUCCUUCCCCAAUUUCAUAACUGUAGCAGAAAAAAUUAUAAGUAAAGUAAAUAAGAAUAUAUAUAGAAAUAUAAGAAUAUAAUAUAUUUAUAAAAUGUUAACAUUUUUAAAAGGUAUAAAUGUAAGUAAAAAUUGAGUUCAUUACACCAUAAAUAACAGCCUUAAUUGUUUUAUCAAAUAUUCAAACACAGAACUAAAUUUAUUGUAUGAACAUUUUGUUACCAUAAAUAGCAUUCCAGCCAACUGUCAUCUACGUACCUCCUUCAUAAUAAUCAUGUGUUUGAAACUUUAUUAUAAUUUCUAAAAAGUUAAAUUCGAUGAACAUGCUGGCAACGCUUAAGCUACUUCUGGGUAUCCAACUAACUUACUAUACUCUCUCUCUAAAACAAUUUUAAAUCCGUGAAUAUUUUUAGCAAUCAAUAUUUGCUCAAGUAUAAAUAAAUUAUAUUGAGCAUCUCUCACGUGCUUUUUUGAACGCAUGAAGCUUUCUAUGCUUUCGUGUUGUUUAUGAUGAUGUGACAUUCAAUUCGAUAAUCGAUUUAGUUAUACAUGAUUUAUACUGUUAGAAUUAUCUAAAAAUUAAAUUUUAUAAUUUUUUAUAUCAUUUUCUAAGUAAUUAAAGGGUUUAAAAAUAACUAUUAUAACGACCGAUACGCGCGGUACAUGUUUGUUAGUUCAACCAUGUAGAAAAAUUCAAAUUAAAUUAAAAUUUAAUAAAAAGCUAUAAUUGCGAUCAUUAACAAGAUCAACACUUUUGAUUUGAAAUUUAUAUAUUUUUUUACUAAUUUUUAGGAAAUUUUUAUUUUCAAUCAUUUAUUUUCAAUUUUUUUGUUCACUAGGCAAGCGAGUCAUAAAAAUAUAAAACUUAAUUUUUAAAUAGCUUUAAUACUGUAAAUUAUACUUAACAAAGCUAAUAAUCAGAUUCAACCUUCAUCAUCAAAAAAAAUUUAAAAACACGAAAAUAUUUAUACUUUUUAAAAUAUUUAUACUUUUCAAAAUAUUAUUUCUUAGCUCCUACAAUAUGAACUUGUAAACAACCGUCCCUAAAGCAAGUAUUAAAUAAAAUAAAUAAAACGAAUAGCAUACUAUCUAUCAAGCUAAAAAAAAAAUAAAAUUGUAAUUAUAUAGUUUUUUUUUUUUUUUUUUUAAUUGCCCUCUCCCUGACAUAUAUUUCUUCCAAACUUCCAAUCCCCGUCGCUGUCGCACGUGAUUCCAAUCCAGCUGGUCCCUACUCUCCAAUCGCGACCUGCCCUUUUCGCCGUACUCUUCACACCCAGCCUCGUCGCGUGACAGAUCAUUUACCCAUCUCAAAACACCAAACACGGUGCAACCAUCAAAUCCAUCGUUACACGAAUAUUAACGUACACGUUUCCAUCAUCCAAGACCUUUCUACCCAUCUUCCUGUUCAUCUAGAAUACUAUUUCAUGAACCCGAUACCGUGAUUCGCGGAGCACUGAAAGCUACGAUAAGAAGCUUAUACGAUGCCUAGCUGUAAUGACCAAUUACGGAACAGUUCGGUUUAAGUUAAGCUAAUCCGCGAGUUAUUAUAACGAGCUCGAGUAAUGCACUAAUGCCUCUGAGAGGAAUUAGAUCAUUCCCUUCGAUUCCUACUUAAAUAAAGGCCGCGUGAUGAAUAAAUAUCCGUACGUAGCGAACCCCUACAUUUCUACGUCCCUUUUAUAGCGAAAAAGCCAUGGCGUGAAGUCCCAAGUUGAUUCACUUCUCCGUUCCCUUCUCCGAGAAACGAGCGGAGGCGAAAACCCUAACACACUCGCUCGUCGUCCUCGUCGUGUUCGUCGUCUUCUUCUUCGAUCCAUGGCGAUCCGGAGAUCGAAGUAGCAUGAUGUAGGAAUCGUCGCGUUUCGAGUAAGUCGGUUCGUUUCCAUGAGUGUGAGAUCUCUUUUCUCUUCUUCGAUUUAAGCUUUGCGGGUUUCGAUCGCUCUCGUUGCCAAUGUAUUGGGAUUUAGCGUUGUGAUCUCAUGUACGUUUCGAUGUGAGUUGUUUGAGCUUUGUCCUUGAGACUACUAUUUGAUUUGAGGAAGGAGCCCUUCUUUUUUGAUUUCCAGGACCUGGGUUUUUUAUGCGAUUUUGUAUUGCUUUUUGUGUUCAAAUCAUGAAGGGUGGGUCUUUUUUUACUUCUCUGCAGGAUUAAUUGUGUUAUUCUCGUUAAAAAGUGGUUGAGAUGUUACCUGGAGAAUUGGAGAAUGGCUCUUUCAAUGGUUCCUUCUUGAUACUUAAUUUGGGGAACAAUACAGUUGGAUUGGGGAACCCUUGCAUGUUUCCUAUUCCGCCCAAAUCUCUUCAUCAGAGAUCGAUAGAUGGGGCUCAUGACAAUUCAAUCUCUAUUGGGAACACAAAUGCUAGUUCCAAUAUUCCCACAGAAGAAUCACCUAGAGGAUCAUCGGAACAUAAGAGGAAUAAGAUGUUAUCUGAUGAAUCAGAUGAUCCUGACUGGGUGCCAGGGAUGAGGGCUAGAAAGAGAAGCAGCAGUCUGGCUCUCAGAGCAGCAAAACCAAAUGCACUUUCUCCUCCUGUCGGUAGUAACAAUUCUGAUAUUUCACAGAGAGGUUUCAAUGGUACAACUGCCUCAGGAACUGGACAGCCGCCGCAGUAUCUGGUGGGCCUUUUGAACUUCUUCGGCUGGAAAGUGCUUUUUCGACCUGGGUUUGAUGACUAUGUUUAUAUAUCUCCUGCUGGUAUCACUUUCUACUCCCUUCCGAAGGCUUUUGAGACCUUUCUACUUGGUACUUCCAAGUAUAAGGAGAAGCUGCCGGUGACAUCUGUUGGAGAAUUCCCUCUUAGAAGUGCUGAUAAUGGGAAGAGAUUGCAUGAGACAAAGAGGACGAGUUCAGUGGUUGGAGAGGGUGCCGCAGCUUCUAUGUCAAUUGAAUGUGUUAAUUUGACGCAAUUCUCACAAAAGCCGGACAAAGUGGUUGAGAAUACGAGAACCUGUACUGAAGAUAAUAAAGCGAAGAAGAUUGCAGCGAGCAGCUGUUUGAUCGCAAAUGAAGCCAAAACUUGCAAUGACGAUGCACAUGAUGAAAGGAGAAAUUGUAAAUUUAGACGAUCAGUUCGAAUAACUAGGGGAGACAUUAUUGGAGCAAGUUCUGUGGAUGCUGCUCAAACUAAGGCUGCAUCAUGUAGAACAAAAAGGGAUGCAGUGGGUGAUAUAGUAUCUGAAUAUCCAAAUAAUAAAGUUAGAAAGUCAAACUGUAGAGAUAUUGUUGUUUUAGAAACUGAUCGAAGAAACCAAAAGUGUGUAUCUAAUAAGAAGAAGUUGGCUCGUGUUUGGCGGUCUAGGCGCGGAAAUAGGAAACGUGUUCCCGUGGAUGCUGAAUUUAAUGCUGAAAAUAUGGUUCAUGACAACUUGGCUUCGAGCACGUCUGUUGAUAAUAAUGCUGUUAGUGGGAAUUUCUGUGCAAAUGACAAAGGCUCUAGUGGUGGAGACAAAAAACUGGGUUCAUCUAAUAUUACUGUUUCAUGUCAAUCUAUUUUUAGUGAUGAUUGUGCUAUAGCUGGAACUAGGAAAUCAAUGCGUAUAAACGGAAAACACGUUCCUGUUAACAAUGAAUUGGAGUGUGAAAUGGGUGCUGACGAUGGCAUAUUUGAGCAUUUUAAAUCUGCAACUUCCAGAGUAGCAAAGAAGGACAAGCAGGAAUUAGCAACUUCUGCUGAAGAUGAUGAAAUGGAUGUCAGCACUCAUGUUUCUGAUGAUAUGCAGUUCAAGCAUAGUGAUGCUAAGAACUUUGAUUGCCAAAAUUCCAAACCUCAUAGACAGUUGGAGAGUCACGACUCAAAGAAAAACCAUAAUAAUGAAAAGAUUCCAAUAUCUGAAAUGUCCUCUGCGAAAAGUCGGAAGACAGUUGUGAAAGAAAGUUUGAUCAGUGAGAAGAAAAAGGGGAAUCGAGCAUGCCGACUAAUUCUUAGGAGGAAAGGGAAAGACGACCGUAACAACAGAUCUCCUCUAGAAACAAAAUAUACUAUGCUGUCCUGGUUAAUUGAUGCAGGCGCUUUAACUGAAAAUGAGAAAGUUAUGUAUGUAUCAAAAAGCAAUACAACUAAUAUUCUUAGUGGUUUGGUGACUAGAGUGGGAAUUUGUUGUGACUGUUGUAAGGAGGUCAUGUCAUUGUUGAAAUUUGAAGCUCAUGCUGGUAGUAAUCUUCAGCAACCUUGGAGUAACAUUUUCCUGAUGUCUGGAAAAACUCUAUUACAAUGCUUAAAAGAAGCUUGGGAUCAGAAGAAGAUGGAAAGCCAAACUGGUGUUGAAACAGUAGGAAUUGAUGAUCUGGAUCCUAGCGAUGACACGUGCGGGGUUUGUGCAGAUGGUGGGCACUUGAUAUGCUGUGAUGGAUGUCCUUCUACUUUCCAUCAAGAAUGUUUGAUGCUUAAGGUUAGACUACGAUGUUUUUUUUGCCAUUCAUUGACAUCCGUUUUAUUUUGGAAUAACUAAAUAAUAUGCUCGCAAAUUUGCAGAAACUGUAGAGAGUGAAAGUCGGGAUGAUAAUCCUAUGAUAGGACCUAGAUCCUACAUAUAAAAGUUAAGAGCUGAAGGUGAACAUAUGAAAACUAUAAUUCCAACUGUGGUAGGAUGAACAAUGAUUUAUGAUUCUGUUUUAUUAUUUCCAAUUUUACCAGUAUGGAAAUCUUGAUGACUAGUCGGUGACACGUAUAAUCCUCAAAUGCUUUUAUUUUGUAUAUGUUCCUUUCGUAAGUAUUAUGGGAUUUCUCCUCCCGAUUGAAUUGUAUCCUCUCUCUUAAGUUUUUACUUUUGUUGUACGGUCAGAGGAUUUCAUUUUGUUGAAAUCCAAGCAUAAAUUGCUAAUUGGGCUCUUUUGUUUUCCUUCAGGUUCUUCCAGAAGGCUGUUGGUACUGCCCUUACUGUAGAUGUGCAAUUUGCACAGCAUCAGAAUAUGGAUUGUAUGGAGUUCCUGAGACUUUGAAAUUGCUCAUAUGCAAACAAUGUGGCCGUAAAUGUAAGUAGACGACGUCAUCACUGCAUAUAUGUUUUACUUUCGCUGUUGGAUGCUUGUUGUCCUGAAAACAUUUAUUAUUAUUAUUAUUAUUAUUAUUAUUAUUAUUAUCUUUUACUGAUAUGGGCAUAAAUCCCUCUGCAGAUCACCGAAAAUGUUCAUCAGGAAAUGAUACACUUGAAAUGGGUUUAUUCUGUGGGGAGAAGUGCAAAAAGGUAAAUAUUGCUUUCUGCCUUACAAGAACACAUUUGCUAUUCGAGACAACUAUCUUUAUAUCUGUUUCUCAACGAAUUUCUUGUAAUUACUCUUUCCAUUUCAGUUGGCGAAUCAACUAUCUAAUGUAAUAGGUGUUACAAAUCAUAUGGAAGGUGGCUUCUCAUGGUCUCUUUUACAAAUUUUUGGUGAAGAUGAGGCAGUAUGCUCUAAUUAUAGAAUGCCCUUUAUACUGGAAUGCAAUGCCAAACUUGCCAUGGCUCUCUCUGUGCUAAACGAGUGCUUUCUUCCUCUGAUUGACCGAAGAACAGGCAUGGACAUGAUUGGCCAAGCAGUUUUUAGCCGUGGGUAAGCUACUUAUAUCUUCUUAAUGAAUUCUGCCGAUGAAUUCUCAUUGCAAACAAUUCACAAUCCUCCAUACAUCAACUGUUACAGCAACUUUCCUAUAACAUUCACACACACUUUUAGCAGUUAGCCUAUGCAUUUUUAUAUCUUUCAUUUGCGCUCUUUUUAUUAAUGCUUUGAUGUUAAAUUUGUUUUUGUUUCAUUAGAUCAAGGUUUGACCGGCUCAACUUCCAAGGAUUUUACACAGUGGUUUUGGAGAAGGAUGGAGAAAUUAUUUCAGUAGCUUCAUUAAGGUAUGGACUUGUAUCAACAUUUCCCUACUUUUUGUUUCUUUUCUGUCACAUUCUUUUUCUUUUGCGCUUUUAUGUUGAUCCACUAUUUCUUUCUGGAGAUGGAACAUUUUGGCUCAGGAUUUAACUGCGGCAGAUUAGCUAUGCUCUUAAACAGUCCUCCCAGAUCUCCAUCAUAAUCCUUCUUAUAAGCUCCCUUUAUUUUACACUCUUUUGAUCCUUUAACAGGUUUCGAGGGACAAAUUUUGCAGAAAUGCCCUUUGUUGGUACACGACCGAUAUACCAGAGGCAAGGAAUGUGUCAUCGCCUUCUGCGAGCUGUCGAACAGGUGCCCAAAUUAUUUCCAAUACACUAUGAAAUUGCUUGUCCUCAUAUUUUUAACCUACGCAAACUAUUCAAACUAAUAUUUGUGUCCUCUUUUUGCCUCCUCUUCGUUGAACGUGGUUUCUUUAAUUUAUAAAUUAAGGUUUCAAACCUGAUGCCUUUCGGGUACUCAUUUGCUCCUUAAAUCUAAAUAAAUUAGAUCUCUUUCCAUGCUUGUCCUCACACAACCAAAUUUUUUAUUCGAUUACCAGAUGUUGUCGUCACUGCACGUAGAAAAGCUAGUAAUUCCUGCCAUACCUGAUCUAGUGGAGACAUGGACUCGGUCGUUCUCCUUCAAACCCUUGGAAUCAGCUCUGAAGGAUGAAAUCAAGAACCUGAGCUUGGUGGUCUUUGCAGAGACAACUAUGCUAGAGAAGCGCAUAUGCAGCGCAGCAGCAGCUCAAGAAGAGGGUAUCUUUCAUGCUUUGCCCUGUUUUUUUAUUCAAAAAUCAUGUCUAUAUCCUAAGUCGUUCUAUAUGCUUCCUUAGCAGGUGAUUUGCAGACUAAUGAAAUCUGUAGCUCUGCAACAGGCGCAGAGGAGGCCAAGGAACAACCGGGCUUUUGCGGUACAGGGUGGUGGACCCUCUCCUUCACUGCAGCUAAUGAUGCUCAACAUAAUUCAUCCGUUGCCCAUAUUGACUCCAUAUAUUGUGCCCUUUCCUUCGACGAUCUUAUCAAAAUCAGAGACUGAACCGCUUUUGCUGCAUGAAUUUUGUGCUGUUACUCAGGGUAUCAGGGUUUCUUUCUACACAAUUUUUGUCAGCUAUAGUUUUCUAUGCUGUUUUUAACUAGGCAAAUAGAGAAUAUAAAGAGCUUGUAAAGUCACGAAAUUGCUCUACAUGAAGUGACAUUUUGUAAAGGCUCGUUGGUUUUGUAUGUAGUCUUAUCCGUGAAAUUUGUUUUCCAGUGUUUGCUUGAGUUGGUAAUAACAGCAAAUAUAGCAGAUUUCAGUAUAUACGCAUCUGGCUGGAAGUGUUGAGACAUUUCAAUUUCGUUCGAGCUCCUACCACUUUUGCUGUAUUCUCGAACAGUUUUAGCAAAUUUUGUGAAGAUGGGGUUUUUUUUUUUUUUUUUUUUUUCCCUCAUUAUGGACCUAUGGUGAAAUACUCUCUCCAAAACUUCAUUUUGCAUUAUAAUAACUGCGAGAUUGGUUAGUUUGUUAUCUUAAUUUCGUCAAUCAUGUAAUAAGUAGGGUAAUGCUAAUUGUUAAAAGAUGAAGUCCCUAGAAAUGGCCCCUUGCGGAAACAAAAGCUUAUUAAGAGAUGCACGAGAAUUCAUAGGCUCUAGCGCAGCUGUUUUGUUAAUGGGCCCAUCUGCUACCUCAGGCCCAAAUAGUCGCCCAUUCAACAGGGCCGCAACAACAACAAAGUGGGCCCGCUCGCGGAGAAGCCUAGAGCUCGGAGGCACACCCGAUAACCCGUUAAGGAUCGAUAAUCGCCUUUUGGAAUACGCAGCGGCAACUGGCUAGGGUUCCGUCCAUUCCAUGCAGCGGCAACUGGCUAGGGUUCCGUCCAUUCCACGGUUCUCUCCCGAUUCUUACUUCCUCGCUUCUCAUCAAGGUGAGACUCUGCAACUUCUUCUUCCUCCUGAUUUAAUAUAUUAUAUAUUUUUUCUUUCUUUAUUGUUGCGGCUUCUUACUCUGAAUCUCGGUGUUGAUAACAACAAGGAGGCGGCUCAAAGGAUUGAUCAACUAAUCGCUAUGAUUAUUCCAUUGCUAUGAUCAACUAAUCGCUAUGGAUCCACACUAUGGUCCAUAGUAAUUUAAUCGAGACAAUUUAUAAAUAUAAUCAGUUUGUAUGUAAAAAAGAGAAUUUGUCUAUCUUAUGUUCAUAUCUAAAUCAAAUGAUCCUAAUAUUAAGUAUGAAAAAUCUGGUUACGAUUGAGUUUGGAUUGGGUUGGGUCGCGUCUUGGACCAACGUGUGCGAGUCAAAAUUUGGUCUGCAACCACGUCGAGUCCAGAUUCCAAGCGGCAAGUAGUCUAAAGCAAAACAUUUGGGAGUCAAAAGAACAAAGAUCCUCAACGAAUGCCUGGUUGAGUCUACUUGGUCUCUAGUGAUAAGCUGAUACCUUCCUGUUAAAGAUUAGUGAUGUAUCAAUAAUUAUGUUUGCAUUUUCAUGCUUCCUCCAUUCCUGUUGAUUCUUUAUUAAAUUACGGUUCAGAUAAACUGGAGUUUCUGAAAUGCAACUCAAAUCUGUAUGAUGUAGAUUCACGUAUGUUGAUGUUUCGGUAGCCACUGUGCAACAAAGCAGUCUUACCAUCAAGUUGGAAUUAAAUGAGGGGAACUUUCUGGGCAGAUAAUGCCAUAUAAGCACUUUUAAUGUUACUUCUUGAUAGGCUCUUUUACUUUAAAGUAGGAACUGAAAUGAAAGACCUUGAUUAGGCUCAUAAAGAGAAGAUGGUAAGGUAGAAAAGUAAAAGCUACCUUUGGUUUUCUUUUUCUUUUUCUUUUUUUUUUUUUUAAAAUAUUUUUUAACAUUUUAACAUGGACAGAUUGCCUGUUGUGACCGAACUUUUAAAUAGUCGGUAGCCGGUAAGAACUGAGAGGACAAGGGCAAAGAUUUCAUUGAAGUUUGAUCUUGAUCAGCUGUAUCUUCUUUUUUUCCCCCCUUUUUUUCUUUUCUUUCAGGCACUUCUUUUGUAGCAUUGCAUGGUACUUUUUCCUUGCUAAUUAUUAGGGUUGUCCUUGUAUGUGUCUUUUGGACCAUAUGAGACCAGAGCUUUUGACUGUGACCUGGGCUACAUUUGAAAGGAGACGAAGCACGCUAAGAUUUGGGGUGCCUCCUGUUUCAAUACCGGAGAGAAAAUGCUUUUGCUUCAGAAGAAGGAAAAUGAAGUGUUAGAUAGAGAGAAGCAGCACUUGGAAGUUCUGAAUCAUCUUCAUAAGCAACUCUCUAGCUCAUAAUAAUUAGCACUAAACCGUAUAUUUGUAGAUGAUAUCAAAUGCGAGGUGAUAAAUAGAGACACUGCCGCUUGGGAUGCUUACAUGCACAUGACUUUCAAUUGUGAUAUUACGAAUGAUUGUUGCUGCCCCUUUUGCUUUUCUCAUUUCUUUUCCUUUUUUCUUGUAAAAGACUGGGGCGUACGAAUAAUACAUGUAUUUUUACAAAUUCAUCGCCAUAUCUUUUUGGUUGGUUAUAAUUUGUUUAAUUAUCUCUUUCUUCUGGUUCUUUUUUCUCUGUUUUUUUGAUAUCUUUCCUUUAUGAAUUGCAGGCUAAUUGAGUGGUGGAUGCCCAUGAUAUGGACUAUAAUAAAAACUGCCGAUGAUGAUUGAGGAAUGAAGGAAUAUCUCUCGGAAGUUGUGUGAGGUAUUUUAUAUGCUUUUGUUCUUGUUUUUUUUGUUUUUUUAAGUAUCCCUAAUAAGAGAGCAUGAAGCUCUUAUUUCAAUGCAAGUGCAUGUUAAGAUGACCGGUCCACAACACUGUUUAGUAUGUUUACCGUAGCUAGUUAGUUCCUUAUUACAGGCGAAGCAGUAACGUAUUUUAAAAAGCUUAAGAGAUACUGAAAUUGGAUUUGGCAUCAUGGUGGGUCUGUUUUGAUAAUUGUAUCAAUAUCUCUAAAGAAGGGCUCUGGCCCUCCUCCUAACCUUUUAGGAAAGGCUGCGGACGCACACCAAGUGUUUGUAUCUUUGCGAUUAAACGUCGGUUAAUGAAUCGUUUUCCCAUCCAGCUCGGAACUAGUAACAAAACUAUUCUAUCCACUCAGCUUUUAUGGUAAGGGGGGGAUGCUCAAAAGCCUUAACUUUUUUUUUUUUUUUUUUCCUGCAUAAAACUAAUGUGGGUGUUUGUGUGAGGGUGGGGUGUGUUGGGGUCGCUUUAUUCCUUAUUCUUUGAGUCUCAGAGGAAAGAGGCCGUACACAGUUCCCGAUUCUUUCAGACCAGACCAGACCAGACCAGACCAGACCCACCUUUCAAAGAGAUCCUAAAAGAAGCCCAUCAAAUUUUUUUAGUGGGGCCCAGCAAAAGAUGAGAGGUCACAGGCCCACAUCAGAUCAACAAAGAAGCAUCAUCAUCAUAAGAUCAGAAAUCAUCGUUGUCGGUACGCCUCCCUUUUUUCUAAUCUCAAAGCAAAAUAAAGGAGUACGUUUGCAAUGGCAUGCAAAGGUUAGGGGGCAAAGGUUAGAGGGGGUGGGGGGUGUGCUUCUUUGAUUAGCUUUGUAUUAGCGCUUCAUUAUGCAAGGGAUGUGCCGGGUUGUACUGCGAAUAUUUGUUGUCAUUUUAAUCAUAGGUAAUAUGUGGUGGUCUAGUUGAGGAAUUAAUGAUUGCAAAAUAUUAUUAUUUUUUUAAUGAUAUUUUUUGGAUGCUGUGCUCCACUUUAACCUGGGUUUCAUUGCGGCCUAUCUAUGUGGAAAUUGAUAUGAUUGUAUAAAGGUUCAAUUAUAAUUAAUGAGUGGUUAAUAGUUGGGUUGCAAUCAAUUAAGCAGGAACUUUUGUUCUCAAUGUAUUUUACACUAGUUGCUGGUUUGUUUUUCUUUCAGCAUUUCUGGCUUCUGAUUAACUACUAUAACCGUAUUUUUUAUGUCUGCAACAUAUCAAUAAAAUUUUGGUAAAUGAUAAUCUUAGUAAUCAUGGGCCUAUUGUACCAUUUUGGCCACUUUGAGAGUACUCCUAGAAUUUUAUAUUGAAAUCUGGUAUCCUCUUAUUAAAGAUUUCUUUUGCAGUUCUACUUAAGUAUUAACUUGUUUUCUCCGCCUAUGCUAUUGAAGAGGUUAUAUAUAUAUAUAUAUAUAUAUAUAUAUAUAUAUAUAUAUAUAUAUAUAUAUAUAUGUGUGUGUGUGUGUGUGUGUGUGUUUGUUUUUCUAUGGCUGUUUGAUUCGGGGAUAAGUAAGAACUGCUUAUUACAGAAAUAGAUAUAAGUUCAAGUAUAAAUAGGAAUUAGAUUAAUUUUGUAUUUAGAUAAAAAUUGUAUUGCUUCUGAAAAUAAGAUAAAUAGUAUUUGGAUGAUUAGAUUGGAACAAGAGAGAUAAAAGUUAUAAUUUGAAAUUAAAAUUAUAUUAUCUAAAUAAUUAACAUCAAAAUAUUACUUAAAAGUAAUAAAUUAAUAUUAAUAAUUAUAAAUAAUAAAUUAGUUAAAUAAUAAUAAAUUAUAAUUAAAUUAAUAUAUAUAUAUAUAUAUAUAUAUAUAAUAUAUAUAUAUAUUAAUUCUAAAGUAUAAUUUAACUUUUUAAUUAGUUAGGAAAUUAUUUUAGUUAGAUAACUAGUAAAAAAAAUUAUAUUAUGAUACAAUAGAAAUAUUAAUGGUUGAUCAAUAUAAAUAUUAGUUUAUAGAUAAACACAUUAAAUUAUUAAUAAUUAAUUAGCUAAUUAAUUAUAUUUAAUAAAUUAAUAAAUUAAUUUAUUAUUUAACGAUGAAUAACAAUUUAAAUAUAUUAAUUGAAUUGAUUAAUAAUUUAAUAUUAUAAUUAAAAUUAAAUUUAGACUUUAAUUAAUUUUGUUUCCAUUUGAAAACAAGUUUUUUCCAUGAAAAAAGAUUGAACAAUAGUUCUGCUCUUAUACCGGAAAAUUCAAUUUCAGUAUCUUUGAAAUCAAUUUGCAAACUGAUUUGCUCAAUUACUAAAUUAUUUCAAGACUCGAGAAUUAUUGUUCUCAAAUACUAAACACAACGUUUGGGGAUAAAGGGGAAACAAGGGGGGCUUAAAAUGCAAUUAAUUAGAGCAAAGUACAAAGCCCAUAUCUCAUGUAAACUUCCACUCUACAUGUAUCUGCAGGGCUCAGGCUCAAUCGCGCUUUGCAAUUGGAAUUUAAAGAAGAGAAGAAGCAUACCUACAUUGGAGCAGUAAAGCCUGAAUAAAUUACUAGCUGCAGCGCGUAGGCUCUGUUUAACCCUGCUGUGUGAUAUAAUACUGUUUAAUUAAUAGUAAGAUAAUAUUAUAUUGAAAUUUUUGUUUUUGGGGCUUAAAAUUGUUUUUUUUUUUGAGAGAGAAAGGUAGUACAUUACCUGCUUCAUUCAUUAAGUAGGUGAAAUCAGCUACAUAGAGUGAAGCAUCUUGGACCUCGAGAAGAUACUUAGACAAUUAACAGACAAUAACGAAAGGAAGAGCCCGAUAAAAAAACUGUUAUUUCAGUUUCGAGGGGGACGUAAUUAUACUGGAGAAGAAAACAGCUCUAUGGUAGGUGCAAAAGCUUUGUAAUGAUUGGGAAAUGAGCGUAGAUUAGAGCGGCACCAAACUGAGGGUGUGUUGCAUUCUAAAUGGAUGUUCACUGAUUACGUGGUAGACCAGGUCCAAGCAAUGAUUUCUUAAAACGAUUGAAACUAUUGCCUAUACUGAUUAAAAGUUAAGAUAUACGAUCAUAAGCAGAGGUUUUUGUGAGAAAAUAUGAUAAUAAUAUUUAUUAAGUUUGGAAUAUAUGAUAAUAAUUACCUAGUUUGUAAUAUUAUAUCUUGUCCAGUAUAAAACAUCUAUAGGGCUCUCUUUUGGAUUAGUACAGUUGUCACAGUGGCCAGGUCCGGUAGGUAUAAGCAGGAUGAUGGUACGUAUAACUGUAGACUGAUUCGGAUAGCUCACUGCCACGUCAGAUAAUGCACGAGAGAAAUCUAAAACUAUGUUUGCUGCAAAGGGAAAUGAUUUCCUGCACCUGGUCCAUCUAUACCCUUGCGCACCACUCGUCUAUUACUCUCUCGCUUUAUCAAUUUUCCUUCUAUCCAUUCGACACUGAUGGCUAAUAGAUAGGCGGUGCAGAGUUACACUAAUGCACCGGAUGCAUGCAGUAAUUUUGAAGAGGGGAAAGAGAGAGAGAGAGAGAGAGAGAGAGAGAAAGUGAUGGAGUCUCCUGUGCUGAGCACAUGCAAUUCACUUUGCAUUAGAAAAUAUACUUUGGACCCAAAUUUAGCCUCCCCAGCAAGAAAGGCACAGCCCACAAUUCCAUAAAAUUUACCAUCCCUGACACCAUAAAAAGCUACUACUACCUCACAAUAAUAAUAAUAAUAAUAAUAAUAAUAUUAAACAAUAUAAAGCAGAGCUAGAUAACUACUUUGAUAUACAUUACAUAUACUUGCCUACUCGCCCACACACACACACACACACACACACUCACACACACACCGUCACCAUCUUGAUGUAGAAUAGCCUUCACUAUUAGAACAGAGAGGCAUUGACAACCCAACCUACACAACAACGACAACAAACGCUCCCCACUCUCAAAUCCCCCUUCGAAUUCUCCACCCACCCUAUUUCUCUUCUCGUUUCCUUCACUACUCCUCUCUCCCUCGCUCUCCCAGACCCAACAUCAUGUGAUGAAACUCACCGAGAAAAACUCCCUACAACUACUACUUCGUUGAUCCUCCUCUCGUUACGAACAACAACAACCACCAUCACCGCUGCCGCCGCCAUCAUCGCCAAUACAACAACAACCACAACGGCAACGACGACGACAGCAGCGACAAGGACGGUAACGUCGACGACAGUUAAAACAAGAUGAGAGCAGGAGGCUGCACUGUGCAACAAGCGCUGACAGCAGAGGCAGCGAGCGUAGUGAAGCAAGCGGUGAACCUGGCCCGGCGUCGCGGGCACGCGCAGGUGACCCCACUCCACGUGGCCAGCACCAUGCUGUGCUCGUCGUCAGGCCUCCUCCGCGCCGCGUGCCUCCAGGCCCACUCCCACCCGCUCCAGUGCAAGGCCCUCGAGCUCUGCUUCAACGUCGCCCUCAACCGCCUCCCCGCCUCGUCCUCCGCAGUCCCGAUCCUCGCUCCCCCGCCCGGCCCGCUCCACCACCACCACCACCACCACCACCAUCACCACCACCUCCACCACCAACCCCCCUCCCUCUCCAACGCGCUGGUCGCCGCUUUCAAACGGGCCCAGGCCCACCAGCGCCGCGGCUCCAUCGAGAGCCAGCAGCAGCCGCUGCUCGCCGUCAAGAUCGAGCUCGAGCAGCUCAUCAUCUCCAUCCUCGACGACCCCAGCGUCAGCCGCGUCAUGCGGGAGGCCGGCUUCUCCAGCACGCAAGUCAAGACCAAUGUCGAGCAGGCCGUCUCAUUGGAAAUAGCCGCACCCAUCACCAGUACCCCCUGUAACCCUAACCCUAACCCUACCAAACCCAAGGAGGCCAUCGCCGGCCCCUUGGGCCAAUCUCAUCAGCUGGCCAAAGCCGCCAGGCAUUUGGACUCGGUUAGGGGCGAGGAUGUUGCGAGUAUUAUGGAGUGCCUAGUUAGCAGGCGGAAGAGGAGUAUUGUGGUUGUAGGGGAGUGCUUGGCCACCACCGAGGGAAUCGUCAGGGCGGUGAUGGAGAGAGUGAGCAAGGGAGAGGGGCCUGAGGGUUUACGCAAUCUACAGUUCCUACCCCUCUCGCUCCAGUCCUUCGGACGCAUGUCGAGAGACGAGGUGGAUCACAAGGUCGGAGAGCUAAGGACGUGCCGAGAGGCUGUGUUGGUGUUGGAGGAUCUUCAGUGGGCUGUGGAGUUUUGGGCUGGCUGCGUGGAGAGGCAGAGGAGCUAUUAUUGCCCUGUGGAGCAUGUGAUUAUGGAGAUUAGGAGCCUGGUUUGUGGUGGCUGCUUAGGAGGAGGCGACAGUAGUGGACUCAGCUUUUGGUUGAUCGGGUAUGCAACAUAUCAAACCUACAUGACAUGUAGGGUUGGACACCCUUCGCUGGAGACUCACUGGGGUCUUCACCCCCUCACUGUUCCUUCUGGUAGCUUGGGAUUGAGCCUAACCUGCGACAGGUGACUGACCAAUAUUCCCACUUUAUGCUUAUGCUUAAUUUGCAAUAUUAAUGUUUAAUAUUGGAUCAACAUUAAUUUGGUAACUGUCAUAGUCUGGACUAGUUUAGUUUGUUUGUUUGAUUUGUUUAAUUUACUUCAAUCCGAUGAAUGUGAAAGACUUUUUUUUUUUUUAAUUUAAUUAGUUUCUGGUUAUGUAGUUUUCUUUUCAAUUUCAAAUAAAAGUAGUGAUCAAAUUUUAUUUUUUUUUCUUUUCAUCUGGAAAAGUUACGUACGCCAUCACAUUCUCUCUCUCUCUCUCUCUCUCUCUCUCUCUCUCUCUCUCUCUCACAUCCUUCUUUUUCUAUUGCCCUUUUUAUUCCUUUCCAUGUUACAAGUGUAGGUUGCACUUCAUUUCAAGAAACAGAUCCACAUUUGAUUUCACUACAAGAAUCAUCUAGUAAACUAGCUAAUAUUUAUAAGACUCCGUCAGCGGGUAACUCUUAGCCAUUACCAAUAUCAAAAAAAGAAAAAAAAAAAUUGAAUUCAACUUAAAAAAAAAGAAAGAAUAUUUCCUUUUUCAAAUGUCUUCUCAUUAAUGGAUUCUUUGGCAUAAUAUGUUGGCUUAAUUAACUCUUCAUCAGUGAUUCACAAAUGCGAAUGAAAGCAAAACCGGGUGGAAGUGAGUCAUGCUGGUCAUUUUUAGAAGGUGGAGGCGAGAGUCAGGUAACUUGUGCCGAUUGUUCAACCAAGCUUGACACAAAUGCUCGAGGCCUACAGCAUGCUUCUUUCAGCAGCCGCAGCUCGAUUGCAUCGAACCUCCCUUCGUGGCUUCGGCAGUACAAAGAAGAUAACAGAAGUGCAAGCACCAAUGAUGAUCAGGUAAUCCUCGAAUAAUUAUUCAUUUAUGUUAAUAGCUAUACAAAGAUAAAGUCCAAGAACAAAGUUUUUCCAUCAAUUACUAACCCCUUUUUGGCGUUACCUUUUUGUCUUUUCUCUCUCUCCUAGGGUUGUAUCCAACUAAAAGACCUUUGCAAGAAGUGGAACUCAAUAUGUAGUUCAUCCCAUGGAAACCAACACCAUACAUCAGAAAUGACUCUAAAUUUUUCUUCAGUAUCUCCAUGUUCUUCCUUAUCUUCUUACGAUAAGUGCAACCCUAGCCUCCACCAGCUCCGUCAACCUUGUCCACUCCAACUAGAGGCCGAGCACCCGUGGAGGGAACAUCGCAAAUGGCUCUCAGAGACUACCAAUGAAGGGCUUGAACCCAUGUCAAGAGUCUCUUUGGAGUGUGCAAACCCUAGGCAGAACCUUAGCUCCGGUUCCUCAGAUGGCACGAUGGAGGUGGAAUGUCAUUCUAAGUUUAAGGAGCUAAGUGCAGAGAAUCUAAAGACACUUUGCAAUGCAUUGGAGAGAUGUGCCCCAUGGCAGAAGGAGAUGAUCCCCGAUAUAGCAAGCACUAUCCUGCAGUGCCGAUCGGGGAUGCGGAGAAGGAAAGAGAAGUCGAAGAUGACUAGGGUUAAGGAGGACACAUGGCUGUUUUUCCAAGGGAAUGACAUUGAUGGCAAAGACAAGAUAGCUAGGGAACUUGCUAGCCUUGUCUUUGGCUCUCACAAUAGUUAUAUCUCAAUUGCACUGAGCACCUUCUCAUCAACUCGAUCUGAUUCUACCGAUGAUCUCGGAAACAAGAGGCCACGAUCGGAAAAAAGUCAUAGCUAUCUUGAGAAGCUCUUUGAAGCUAUAUGCGACAAUCCACAUCGUGUGAUCAUGAUGGAAGACAUCGAGCAGUUAGAUAGCUAUUCUCAGGUUGGUAUCAAGAAUGCGAUCGAGAGCGGUAGUUUACGGGGCUACAAUGAUGAUGAAGUCAGUAUUAGUGAUGCUAUUAUAAUUUUGAGUUGCGAGACCUUCGACUCGAGGUCUAGGGCUUGCUCUCCUCGAAUUAAACAGAAGAUGGAGAGUGAGGAAGAGAAGGAAGAAGUAGGUGAGAAGGAGACGGAUUCUAAAGGUUUUUGCUUGGAUUUGAACUACUGUGCUGAAGAUGACAUGGAGGAAUGUUUUUUUGAUGAUGUGUGCCUUCUAGAAGCCGUCGAUCGUGCGUUCUUCUUCCGAUCACCAGGGGAUUUGUAAUGUACGUCUUUGUUUCACUAGGAUUCUCGUUUAUGUUUUUGCAUUCUGAAUCUUGAUAUUCACCCUUUUUUUUUUUCCUUUUUGUGAAUUAUGAAACGAGGGCUAGGAGGGUUGUGUUCUUAAAUUAUGCAUGCUGGGAACACUUGUAUAUUGGUAGUCCUUUCGUGGAAUUGGUUUAUGACAUCUCUCUCUCCCUCUCUCUCUCUCUCUCUCUCUCUCUCUCUCCAGCAUACAAAUAAUUAAGUAUUGGUAUUGUAUUAAAAUAUGCGUAUACAAGAUGGACUACAUAUUAUACGUUCCAAUAUUUUUUUGCAAAAGGUUUUAUUACAUUUUUGUUUGAGAAAAUGAAAAAAGUAUAGUACUUAUCUAGCCAAGUAUUUUAUGUUACGUUCACAUGCGACUGGUGGGUUAGCAUGCAUGAUUAACUCUCUUUUUUCUUCUUAUUCUUUUUUUUUUUCCCCUUUUUUGUGACUGUAAUGUAGGAAUGAACUCAUUUCAUUAAUAUAAUUAAUACGACAUUGAAUCCAACAAAAUAAGAAAUAAAAACACUCCAACAAAUAAAUGCCAGCCCCAUCUUCCUUUGCUGGCUUUUUCCUACAAAAAAAAAAGUGAAGGAAAAUGAAUCAGCAUCGAAAAGUACUAUACAUAAAUAUAGAUGCAUGCAAUACUUCACAUAAAAUAACCGACCGCCCCUAGAGCAAGUGGCAAAGGGCUUUGUGGUUGGUACUCGAAACCCAAGUUCGAAUCCUAGUUGAUUUAUAUUUUCAGCUAAGUUUGUUUCUAAAUAAAAUAAACGAAGCGGGUAGCGUGCUACCUAUCUCUCAAAAAAAAAAAUAUAUCGCUCUAAAUUAAAAAAAAAAAAAAAAAAAACUUCACAUAAAAUAGUGUACCUCUUACUUUCUAUUUGUAAUGUUCUACUGGAACUUUUACCCCUUUUAAUUAAUUUGCUAGUGGAUAAGAAAUGAAUUUGAUGUGAAUUUUGCUUCACAACUUAAUCAGCCAACUUCGAACGUUUCUUAGCCACAAAUUUGAUGAUUCAUCAAAUAUAAUCAAAGUGUGAAUACAGUAUUUGUGUUAAUCUGUAGUUUUUUGUGCCUUUAGGAUAGGUCAGGCGGUAGGGAUCUGCUAAGCCCUAUUCAUACUGAAUGGUUUCUCAAUAUAAAAGGAAAAUGAGAAAAAAUUUUACGUAGUGCAUGAUAUGAUUAAUAGCUUUUUUUUUAAUAACAAUUUAUUAUCAAGUUAAUUAUUUAAUAUCAAAAGCACUGUUUAGUCUAAAUUUUUAUAUUUUGUACGAUUAAACUGUAAAUUCUUCCUUCUAAGGGUAUAUUACUUCAGUUCUCAACAUUGAUAAUUAAAUUGCAAUCUAGGUCAACAGACUUAAGCACUCAGAUGACCGACAAUAAAUAAUGAGAUUAUGAGAAACCACAGAUCGAUCCAUCCUUAAGAGCUUAAAGAAAAAUAAAUAUAGAACAUAAAUAUUACGAAAUACCCUUUGAUUAAUUUUAUGCCCAUGAUAUUUGAAACCACUUGAUAAGAUACUUACCUUUAUUCUAGAAAUAAUUAGCAGCCCCAAAAGAACUUGGCUUAAGGGCAAUUAAUUGAAUAUUGGGCAUCCAUUAUCUCUUUUUUAGUGAUGUCAAAUGGCAAUUACUGGCCCUACCUUCAUUUAUUUAACCCUCCCUUCUGUGCCCUUUACACUAAUUCCCAUUAUGGAAGCAUUUUAUUGUACAUUAAUUAUGUUCCCCGGUAGGUGCUACAUCUAUUAACCAUUAGAAUGGUUUAAAUCAUUAAAUCUAGAGAAGGGUCAUAUACAAGCUGACACAAUCUAGUGUUGCUUGAUUGGAGAAUGAAGGUGGUUGCUACCUCAACCACAAUUUCACAAUCAUGGCCUGUAUUUCUCAAAAGAAAAAUAUAAAUAAUAAAAAAACAAUAAUGGCAAUAAUUUUGUACAGCUUAGAGCUGGAUGCAAUUGCAUGAUGAUUACAUGAGCCGUGUAUGUACGCAUUAAUGCGAUAACAAGAAAUUAUAGACAAUUCAUUGGAGAUGUAUUACAGUAUGAUUCAUAACUUAGUGUUUGUGCAAAGGGGCAGCCACUUUAGAAGGCAAAAGAGCAAUCUUCCUUAAGAAAUAUCAAAAGCUCACUACUUUUCAUGCAUGGUGAUGCGAUUUGAAAAGGAAUCACUUUUGCCUGCUUUAGAUUUCACAACCCAACAUUCUCAUCUUUGGAAAGUAGUGGGGAGUGAAAAGCUUAACACAAAAUAAAGAUAAGCAUCUUAUAGUCUUUAGACCUUAAAGUUAGUGCUUUAGAAUCCUAAAAAGAUAAUCUUCUCUAAUCUCCUACACCUCAUUAAGAUAAAGCACCCAAGCGUAAGUAGGGUAUUUGUCGUGUAUAUGACUUUGGAAAAAUUACAAGAAAGAGGGCUUUGAAAUAUGUGGAUCUCCCAUAUGUGGAGCACAGAGGAGAGGAACAGUACUACGUGACACAUCCUACAUGCCUGUUUAUUACUUUUACAGUAAGGUCUAAACUAAUUUAAUUACAUGCUAUGCUUUUAUAUAUAUUAAUUAAUUUGCAGCUAGUAGCCCUUUUAUCACCUACAAUCUCCCAUCUUUAGAAAGGAUAAGACCACAUCAAUCCAAGUUUCCCAACUCUUUGGCUCUCUUAUCCUUUUUAAUACCUCCUUUCUUGGAUAGUGAUAUUAAUUAAUAGUCCUAAAGUUAAUUAGUUGCAUUCAUUGAAUUAGGAGAUAAUGACCAAAAUUUUUUUUGAGAAAUAAGGUAGCAAGCUACCAGCUUCAUUCAUUAAGUAAAAUAAACUGAGCGUACAAAGAUGGAAGCAGCUUAGGCCUCCGAAAACACAAAAAUAACAGACAAAAGGCCAAAAAGGGGAAAGGAGGUGAGAGGGGAAGGUUAGAGAAAGAGGAGUAAGUCUAGUGUCGCUUCAAGUCAGCAUGAGCUGUUUAUAUACAUAGCAAAUUAAUAGAACAAUUCUGCUUAUACACUUUUAGUAUACAGGUGUAAGAUUUACAAAGUAGCAUCUUAAUUAAAGGCUAGAGAUUUCUUCGCUUGUCUUAUCAACUUCUUUAUUAGCACUAAAAAUUUACAAUUUUUUUUUUAAAAUCCUAAAAUCAUGGAUGGUAAGAUUUAUACCUUAUAAUUAAUGGAGCGUACAACCAGCAUUUUUCUCAUAAAUAUUGCACUGUCAAAAUAAUAAUUCUGUCUCUUAAUUAAUUUGUUCUAGUAUGUGUGCUCGCAUGUAAGUAGACAAGCCUUUAGUGCGUUCUUGAAGUGCAUGGGCUAACUAGUCAUAAAUUAACCAAGAUCGACUAUAUAACUGAAGAGAAGACCACAAAAACGUUAACUACAUAAACAGAAGGUAAAGAAAACUGAGAGGAAAUCCAACAAACUCGCUAGCUAGCUAGCUAGUUGUAGCCCUACAAGCUAGCUCUUUGAAACGAAGGUUUACGUACUUCUCUCCAUGCACAAACUAUAAGGCACUAUUGAAAAAUAAUUAGGAAAAUAUAAAUGUUCCAGAUAUAUAUACAAAUUUAUUUCUUCACAUUUCAAUGCUUUCUUUUUACAUAUUUUAAGGAAAAGGCUAUAAGCAUGGUCAUACCAAAAGGCGAGACAGUACACUGAGAGUGCUGUAUACUAUUACUGAAGGCUUUGGGACUUCCCAGUAAAUAUAGUAUCCCACGUAUUCAAGGGAUUCGUGCCAAAUUUAUAUUAUUGUACAUGUUGAUAUAUUCCCUCGUUGAUUAAUUACAUUAUAGUAAGUGCUUCUUUUGUGGCCAAAGAGCACCAGGAUACAUGAUAUUCUCUCGUAUACUGUAGAGGGAGAGGACGAGACGAAUCCGAGGAGUGAUCCGAAUGGCUCUAUGGCCAAGAAAUACGCAUGCCUUGCAUGUGCAUGCGACUUAGACCCAUUGUAUUUCAUUCACUGCUAUGAGAAUCUCGUUGUGGAGUCUCUGUUGACUGUAUAAUCUUUGUGGAUUACAUAACUGAUCACAGCGGAAUAAAUAGAUAAGAUCACCUUUUGACUACAUCUAAUUGAUGCAUUUCCACUACAUGCAUGCAUCAUCUAAUAAAUUUAGCCAUAUAUAAGUCGACACACCAUAGUUUGGCCUUCAUUUGCAUGCCCACAUACAACAUCUGGUUACAACUAUAAUAAACCAAAUAAAAUUUAAUUAAAGACUUAAUUACCUGCAGUUGCACCUACAGUACAGCAUGAAAUACUAACCCGCCCUUAUAUAUAUAUAUGGAACCUCAUGAUAUGUACUGUACUAGCUAGUUCUGAUCAAUUUUGAUUAAUGCAUCUUGUUAAUUCUGACUCUCGUUUAUUGUUAAAACAACUUAAAGCGGUCUAUGGACUUAUUUUCAUUUUCACUUUAUUUAUUUAUUUUUCUAAUUUUCCUAUUUUAUUUUCAUUUUUAUUUUUAUAUUUUGGUGCGGUGGCUUGUAACUUUUUUGAGUUCGAAUUGCCUUAAAUCUUAUAGCUGAAUUUAUUUUCUAUAUGAAUGGAGCGGGUAGCGUGCUAUCCUUCUCUCAAAUGAAAAAAAAAAAAAAAAAAACAAAAACAAAAACCAAUCUUUGCACUUACCAGCAAAGAUGAGGAGGAGACCAGAGUUGAUAGAUUUUGACCACAAGCACAAAUAUAAAUUUGAACUAGUUAAACAGGCAGACAAUAAAUAAGGCUAAUAGCUACCUCAAAGAUUUGAAAAACCUCAUGUUGCUCUAAUAUCAUGUAAAAAACACUUUAAAAGCUUAAACUAAGUAAGAACGAUGCCUUAAUCAUUUAUAUUCACAAACUUUCGACCACAUGCCAAUGGAAGAAGGAAUCCUAAAAGUCAUAAGCAGCAAAAUAACCGCACAGACCUAUUUCCAAGCAUUUGUUCUUAUCUUGACAAACAUAAAGAAUCAACGAAGUGGAGGUAAUCGAAGGUUUGAAUGAUAUAUUAUUCCAAUAGAACAUCGGAAAUUAAUUAACAGCAGAAGUGGUAAACAUGUCUCCACCACAGAAGCCAACUUCAUCUUUUAUUAUUCUUCUAGCGAUAAUGCAAGAUAUGCUCUAAACUUUCUGAGAAAAAAAAACGAUAUCUGUGGUAUUGCUGGUAAGCCGAAAGUAACCAAUGUGAAUGAAAUAAUUUAAAGAACUGGCUGAAAUAUCCAGAAAAACUUUAUAUUCCUGAGAAUUAACCCCAUACUCAGAUUGACUGAAAUAAAGGAACUCAACUUUCAUGAAGAAAUAUAUAACAAGUUGCAAAGGUGCAUCACAAUUGAUUUUAUUAUGCGACAAGUGGAGAUGGCACAAAAAGGUGUCAUAUUCUAUUUAUAUAUAUGCUUUGCAAAAAUGUUCACAUUAGCACCAACCUGGAACUAGGACAACCAGCAUCUAGUGUCGCUAAUAAAAUAGUUAUAUAUAAAGAGCUUGUGCAAGUCUAUAACACAUCAGACAUGUCUCUUUACAGGCAAACUGUCCAUAAUCACCAAAUGUGAUUCUGUAGUUUCAAAAAUUAUAUUUCCGUGGUGUGAAACUUGCAUGUAUGUAAGAUUAGGAUGCUUUUAAAAGCACCAUAUUUAAUUGUGAUUUUCAGAAAGCAAUAUUUUGACCCUUUAGCAGUCAUUAGACAAGUACAGGAAGUGGAAAAGGAAUGUGCUGAAUUUUGCUGAACCAAGUGAUCGAUGGAUUUUAAUUUUGCAUUGUAAUCUCACUUCUUUUUGUUUCUAUUUUUUUUUUUAUUGAUUUUUUUUUCUUUAUAUGUCGUUCUUAACUUUUUCGAGGCUCCAAUGCCUCAAUUUCUAUAGCUAAAUUCAUUUACCAAAUGAAUGAAACGGAAAAAAGCACAAUAUUUAAUUGAUUGUGGUAUUUGCAUCACUAUGUACGCACACACAUACAUACAUACAUACAUAUACAUACAUGCAUUCACAAAUGUUUGUAGGCAUGUACUCAUCAUGUAUGUGUAAUUCAUCUUUUCUACAACGUUAGCUUUGAACUCUUUAAUUGGAUUAAUGCUAUGUCCAUCUCAGAUGGGAGAAAAAUUUGAACACCGAAAACUAUACCAUAAUUGUAAAUAUAUACAAAAACUUACCUGAAUUAGGGGUCAUUUUGAUUUGGCUAUCUAAUCUUUCAAAAUUUUAAUUUUACUAUCCAUAUUUUCAAUUUAUUUAAUAUGAGUUAGUCAAUAAUAUUUUGAUUUCAAAAUUUAGAUUAAUUACUUAUGUUAAUAAAUUUAUAGUUGUGGAAAUUAUAUAAAUUAUAUUAACUAAAUUUAUAAAGAUAACUAAUGCAUUUAUAUUUUAAAGUCAAAAUGUCAUUUACCGACUCUCAAAUCAAAUAAAUUGAAAGAUUGAGUACGUAGCAAUAUCAAAAUUUUGAAGGUUGGAUAGCUAAAUAAAAAUAGUGCAUAUAUAGUUUAGAACGAUAAAUUCUAUACAUUUUUACCUAUCAUAAAAAGAUCGAGAGAUUCAUACAAAUCAUAGGAUAGUUAGCCCCACAUAGCUCGAAGAAUUCAAUCGCUUUAAGUUGCUCUACUCUCAUCUACACUCGGGAGAGUGGGCUAUUGUUAGCUUCAAUUUAUUCGCAAUCAAACUAUCAGUGAAUAAAACAGCAUUCGCUGCCCUAGCAAUUUAAUGCUUGAUUGCCAAAUAUUGAAAGAUUUCAUUGAUUUCCAACAAAUUUGAUCCAUUCAAAGUGCUCCAACAUGUCAGAUGCCCCAUCAAUCCACAGAAUUAUUCUUUGUUCCCCAAGCUAGAUACCUUAUAAGUAGGCCUCAACUUAUCCAAUUGUUCAUAAACACUUCUUGUCAUUAGGCAUUAAAAUACUGAUCAUCUCUAGCUAUCAUGCUUUCCAAACGGCAAAACUAUCAUAUAUAUAUAUAGGUGCAUCCUUUGGUAGUGAAAAAAUAGCUCCUGAUUUCGUUGUUAUAGACCUCUUCGAUAGAGUCCUCUCUCAGAGCCUUUUUGAAGUGCCAUUUGAGUUUAUGCAAUACAUAUUUCUUCUUCUUUUUUUUUGAGGGAAAAGCAAUAUAUAUUUCAACAGAAGUGUUAUAUUUUUUGCACCGUUACCAAAUUGGGAGGAGCCAAGUUCGCCAGUUAUGGCCUGGAGAUUGACGAGUCGGCUGUACGUGGACCGCCCAUCCUAUCUCAGUCCAUUUCCUCCCAACUUUGAAUCCUCCGUUCCACUGCUCAGUGAGCUCCAACCUGAUUUAAAUGUUAAGUUCUUUACAAAAAAUUUAGGUGGUUAAAUCAUGUAAUUAUGCUAUGAGAUGGAACGGAUGGAGAUGGACAAGCAGUCCAUGCAUAGCAGAUCUUUAGUUUAUUUGGAUUUAGAAAGUCGAUUAGCUAGAUCACUGAGUGUUUUUUUUUUUUUUUUUUUACUUUUCCGCAAGUGGGCUUCAUGGUGACAUGAAAGACAAGUCCUCGAGCUUUGCCCUGGGAUAAAGUGAGACGUCACUAAAGUGAUGGUGUUCUUUUAAUCGGCUAAGAAGAUUAAAAUAUAAAGAGGGAAAAGGGGUAUAAUAAAGUGCGUAGAAUGAGAGACAUACUUAUUAGACCAACCUCCUCCAACUUUGUGAAGAGCCAAUCAGCUUCUCCUUGAAUUAUUCUUCCCCUCAAAUCCCCCCACCUCUAAAGAUAAAUGAAGAGCCAACUUGGAAGGAGAUGUCUAUCUGGGGGCUUAUUUUUAUGUAUCUUUUGCUGUAAGGAUUCAAAUAUUUUGGAGAUAAUGGUGCUUCUUGUUAGUGCUUGCCUUUCUCCUUUUACAAAGUGCUGCAACGCUUUUUAGGACCUCAAGACAAAUGCUUUUGGUAAAGAUUGGGUGCUUUUUCUCGCAUUAAACAUAGUAAGAAAUGUAGAGUUAGAUCUAACUAUGGCCAUUCCCACCUGAUUGGUGCUUCUGAAAGAAGCUCAAACUGCUGGUAGGUUGGAAACCGACAAUAUCACUUUGCGGAGCUCCAAAUAAUUACCUACAGAUUAUUGCAUGCUUAUUUAUUUACCAAACAGAUUGGAGUUUGAAGAUUUUUCAAUUGCUGUUUCUGAGUAUUAGACCAAGUACGAAGUUUCUCGUAGACAAAUUUAACACAGAUGGGCAGUUUAUAAGGAUUGACUAACACUAAACAUUUAAUUCGCUUGCAAAAGGAGUGACGGUCAAAAGUCAUUGUUGAACAACGUAAACUGAUCAUGAUCCACUAUCAAAUUUUAUCUGCACAAUGAAAAUUAUCAAGGCACCAAUUAAAAAGAUGAGCUGCUUAUAAAUUAAGACUAGUACUCGAAACAAAUAUAUAUAUAUAUAUAUAUAGAAUUAGGCUACUAUGCUAUUAAUAGCACAAAGUCAUUGGUGCUACCAAGUUUUUGGCCAUUGGAUUAAGAGAUGUGUGGUUAGGAUGAUGUGGGGCCCCUAGGGUUGAGUGAGUGGUUGGUUGAAUAGUAUGAUCUAACGGGUGAAAAUGAUCAAAAGGGUAGAUCUAACGGCGGAAAACUUGGUAGCACCAAGUGCUUCGUGCUAUUAAUAGCAUAGUAGCCGGACUCUAUAUAUAUAUAUAUAUAUAUAUAUAUAUAUAUAUGAUGCAUGGCAUGCAAUUUGAAAUUCCAUAUGAACGAUCACAACCUAUACAAUCUUCAAAAGUUUCAUAAAUUAAAAUCCAUCAGUUCUAUGUUUGCAGAGCAUAAAUUUUGACAAAAUCUUGUAACAUCUGUUUGUGUUUAUUGUGUUAAAAGAAACUAGGCAGCAUUUUCAAAUGUGCGAGAGGACAUAUAUAUGCUCUAUCCAACGGUAUCUAGCACCUUAGUGGAAUGAGGAUGUUGCAGCUGCAGUAGUGACUUAAAAGUAGAAGAGUCUUUUCAUAUAACCAAAAUUUUAUUUUCGUGCAGCGCAAGCCUCCGAAUGCACCCUGUGCGAGAUCUAGCAAACCAAUUUUUUACUGCAUGAAAAGAUAAACUCAUUCCGUCGAUGCACUACUCAUCAGAAUUCAGACAUAUAUAGUCUCCACUGCUCUCACACUUAGUUUAAAGUUUAUCUGCCGCACUGUUUCGUGUGAAACUACUGUUUAUCUGUGCCAACUUCUUAGAUAACAUUUUUCCAAAUGUAUAAACACAUGAAUCUUCGUAAAUCUUUUAAGUGAAUUGUGAGAGGGGUGUUACUUACAACAAACUCUCUGCGAAGUACAAAGAAGAGAUCAUAUGGGCACUUUAAGAAUCAGAAGCAGCUCUUACAGCUUUCUCAGAUAAAUGUAAAAGUCCAUUUGUUCAUCAGCUAUUAACUCUUCCGAUAAAACCAUAACAAGACAAGCUGCAAAACCCCCAAGGCCCACGAGGAAAAAGCCCCUACAUUAGCAUCUGCAAAAGAGACAGCAAGCAUGGGGACAAAGUUUCCACACCUCUGAGGCUUUUAGCAGUACUCUUUGAUAAGGGCAAAAAAAAAAACAAAAAAAACAUAAGCCCAGAUUGGCUCUCUUUUUUUUUUUCUUUUCUUUUCUUUUCUUUUUUUUUUUCUCUCACCGCUCUCUCCUCCUUUCAUGGGAAGGAGCCAUGCAUGAAAGUAAGGGAAUUCUCGGAUCAAGAAGCCCUAAAAUCCAAAAAAACUUGAUAGCUAAGUCUAUCCUAGCUCUAUGGCUUGCGGGGAGGGUUUCAUCAUUUGAAAGUGAUGAAUUGGGGGAUCCGAGGAGAUGGGCCCUCUCUCCAUAUGAUAUGCUUUAGUUUCGAGGGAGAAGAGCUAGGCCUAGAGGAACCAAUUCAUGUGAUCCUCUUCUCUCAUCUUUCUUGUUCUCUCUCUUUUUUUUUGUUCUUAAAGGGAAGAGGACUGGUCAAAAAGGAGGGGAGAAGAGGCCUGCAUGGUGUGAGGAAGAAUAAUGUGGGAGAGAGUGACAAUUGGGGAAAUGAUGGCCGAUGCUAGCUUUUGGGCAAGGAUAAGUCAUUGUCCUCAGAAAGAAUUUUGAGCAGGCCAGGGGAGCUAAAGCUUUUAAUUUGUAUCAUAUGGGAACUUAGCUGCAGCAUAUAGCUCUUUGUGGGAUAGGUAAUAAGGUGUCCGGAAAAGAAAUGCAGGCCAAGUGACUCAUAAUUAAUGGAAGAAGAGGAGCAGCAGUCCUAAGAAGACAAACAUCCCAUAGUGGCCUGGCUAGAUAUAUACUUGGUUCCCUUAACUAGGUUCUAAUUAUGAUAGUGGAGGCUACUUUUAUGCAAGGCAUUCCGCUAAUUGGAUGGCUAUAUUUAACAGUUAACACUAGCCUGUUAUGAUGGCAAACUCUAAUGAGUAAAGCAUCUCAUGUGUGAUUAAAAUGCCAUCUGAGGCAAAGGAAGGGUUGUUAUAACUUGUGCUAGCUGCACCUACAAAAAAUGUCUACCAAAGUUGCGGCGCUUUUUUUUUUCUUUUUUUAGAGUGAUAGGUAGCACGCUAGCUACCCGCUUCGUUUAUUUCAUUUAGAAAUAAACUUAGCUGAAAAUACCAAUCAACUAGGAUUCAAACUUGGGUAUCGGGUACCAACCAUCAAGCCCUUUGCUACUUGCUCUAGGGACGGUCGGCACAUUUUAACUCCUAAAAAUGGUAGGUGAGGUCUCACUGUUUCAUAGUUACAGCAUUGGAUUUUUUUUUUUUUUUUCGUGUGUGAAAACUCUAUUAGUGGCCUGCAGUAGUAUAACUAAUUAACUAAAAACUAGUAAUUAAAUAAAGUUGGUCAAAAAGACUUCAUUGUAGCUUCAAUAAAAAGUUUCAAUGAUAUUUAUCUCCGUAGAUACGCAUGGUUCACCGACCAGAACCAACGAGCCUUAGCUGGCUUUCAAGUAAAAGAACCUUAAGGUGGUUUGGAUCUCACCACGAGAAAUUGAUGGUUUUGUGCGUCGUAAGCAAGGAACUUAGGUUCGGGCAGAAAAUGUAGUAACCGAUCGAGCCCGUCAAAUUUGGUGGUGUCGCUUGUUGCGACCCGACUAGAAUUGGGCUAAAAAGAUGAAUACAAUUUUUGGGCCCAUUGAAGCCCAAGCUAAUUAACUGUGAUCCAGCCUGUAUCAGGACAUGUCGUGUCGUGCUUCGUGAUCUUCAAUUUUUCAGAACCUGAUUCCCUGCAAGGAUCCGUUCGAGUCCCGAAUUAGGGCAUGCUUGGCUCCAAGCCUCCAGAUGGUUUGAGGAUAAUUUGCUCUAGAAUUUCUUUUUCUUCAAUUAUUCUUGACUGAGUGGAUAACACAUUUGACGCUUAUAACAAAGAUAGCCCCUUAUAACAGAUAACCUUGUGAAAAGAGGUUGGACCGAAGACAUAGUCUGUGUGUUGUGCGGAAUUGAAGUGGAAUUUUUAGAUCACUUGUUCACACAGUGCAUAUUCAUCAAAUUCUUUUUAGUGAUGGGUGUGGAGGGUGUUCAGGCUAGGGAUCUGAAAGAUGACGUUAAUUCUGUCGGGGAUAGGUGAUUGUUUAGAAUUGGAUUGCAAACUACGCGUACUAGACUAGUUGAACUAGUGGCCGACUGGUGGAUCAUAUCGAAGGUCAGAAACAAUAUAAUUUUUAAAAAGAUCUAGCUGGCCCAGUGCUAGCAGUACACAAGCUUAAGCAGUUGGCGAAGCUUUGGAAAGUUCGCCUCUCAGCAAAGCGGAUCGCCUAACCUUUUUUCUUUUUUUGACUUACCCUUGAGACCCACGAUGCCUCAUCCGUAUAGCCUAGUUUACCAUUCCAGUGAAUGAAGUGGGUAGCGUGCUACCUUUUCCUCUAAAAAAAAAAAAAAAGAUAGCCCCACAAAAAGCAAAAGCAGCAUUGAGAAACAGAUUAUACACACUGAAACCCAAUUAUCACCAACAUACUAUUAAGUACAUUAAUCAUCUAUGUUUGGAAAAAGAUAAAGAAAAACAAACAACAGCAUGCUUCUUCUUCAGGGGAAUAUAAGUAGAUAUCAUGGGGCAGGAUCCUUUCCGAAGCCCAUCAAAGCAUGAGUAACAAGCAUCGAACCCCUGCGUGUGAUCUCCGCUAGCCGUCCCACUAAGGGAAGCUUCACAGUGUCUCUGUUUUUCAAAGGCUUCUUAUCCCACCUAAUAUUUCGUAGUGAAACAGAUGAGUUGCUAAUAUCCACCAUUUCAUAAAUAUAAUCUCAUACUGCUCGAAGACUGUUUAGAUGCAUGAAUUUGUAAUGUUGCCUAUUAUUUCCAACACCUAGCAAUGUUGCCCACCAAUAAACAACAAUAAUUAAAUGAAGAAGAACUGACCAGUCUUCAUGGCGGAUGACCUUUCCUUCUUCAAUUUCUAGCUUAAUAAGUGAUGCUAGAUCAACAGCUUUCCCGCAGAAUUUGUAAUGUUGCUUGUUAUCAAUCAGAACCUGAAAUAUGCAAAAACAUUUAUAGCAAGGAAAGGACCAAGCAAGUACAUCAAUUAAAAGGAAAAAAAAAAUGAAAGAUACACUUCAGAGUGUAGUGUGAAUCCAAACCUCGACUUUCCCCGGUCCAAUUGCAUUUUCUUGUACAGUAUAUUCAACAAUUCUAGAUUCACUGAAGACCUGAAAUACACUAAAUUGUAAAAUAAACAAGUUGAGAUAUAUUCAGAAGAUAACUACAUACUGAUAGAGAAGUGAAACUUCUACAGUCACGCACAUACGUAUAUAGAGAUACGGAAAAAGUGGAACUUUCGGCCUGUACUAAAACACAUCUUGUACAACAAAAAAGCUGAUCGAGUAUAUGACAAUUUUAUACCGAUCAAUCAUCCAUGUGAAAAUAAAUCAAUGGAAUAUAUACUACUAUUUCUUUUCGAGGAUCAAAGAAGCUGAGUUUCUGCAAUCUGGAGCUUGGCUGUGAUCGAAAUUGAUUUCAACUUAAGCUCAGGUAGAGUUGGGGAAACUUUAGCUCCAACUUGGCUCAUGGAAAUUUCGAGCUAGCUUGAUCUUGCCGUAUAAGCAUGAUAUUAGAGACGAAAGGAGGGGCUCAUAACUCAUUUGAAUGACAUACAUGAACGUGCACACGCGCAUAGGCACGCACGUACAUAUAUACACACAGAGAUAUAAUCUUACAAGUUACAAACUUACAUACACUCAAGUAGGCUUUUCGGGCUUCAUUAACUAACCUAGAUUGCAAUCCUGGCUCGAGCUCCGCUUGUUUAGUUAAUAAAAAAGCUGGAAUUCGAAUUGAACUGUAUAGGGACCCACCGAAAAGUGGCACUAACAAAACAUACAAGAAACAUUCCCAAUAAAAAAUAGCCAAAGAAAAUAAGAUUCAAAUGGUACUCAUCUCAAACUUCGUGUUUCCAGUAACCCCCUUGCUACUAGUUUACCUAACUUACAUGUUUUUUAACACUAAACAGGAAAGUCCAAAACUUUCAAAUUUGUCUAACAUCUUAUGAAUAUUAUAACAAACAAGUCCCCCAAUCCGCCAAAAUUACUCAUCGCUAAGAACGUAAAAACCUCUUUUAGAAGUAAAUCCAAACCUUAGGAAGCGAAUAAAACGCCGACUUGAUCUGCUUCACUCUGCCAAGGAGCACCUCACACUUAAGAUACGGAAAAAAGCAUAAAGAUCUACUCUUUACUAUACAAAAAUCCUAACAAUGAGCUCAUACCCACGAGCGCGCAUGAGGGGAUCCUCGAAGGUGGCGUUCGGAGCGUAAAUUUCAAAAUCUCGAGCUGUCGCAGACGAUCCAUAUCUGUAAACGAUCGCCACCGAUCCCGAUUAAGGCGAAUUCGCAGCACCGAAAUCGAAAUAAGAAAGCAGGGUAAGAGAGUUCGAAACUGAGUAGAAAUUAGGGCCAAAAUCGGGUGAAAGCUAGGGGUCGAACUCACAGGUUGAGGAGGUGGGGGAUGAUGAGCUCGGAGAGCCCACGCGCUUGCGGUUUCGGGUCGGAUUUUGCGUCGUCGGAUUCCUUCGCGUGUUGCUCCGCUCGGCUACUCUCGUCGUCCAUCGUUGCACCCUACUUGCGCAUUCAAAUGACGAGGAAGAUAUUUCUCUUUUCUUAAAGAAGAGAUAAAUUAGAAAAAUAAAAAAAAAAAAAAAAAAAAAAAAAAAAAAAAAAAAAAAAAAAAAAAAAAAAAAAAAAAAAAAAAAAAAACACAAA